rnacentral:lncRNA from 1 species
UGCUUCGAAGUGACACAAUACAACAUUCGGCACCACACAGCGCACUGCACUGCAAACCCAACUUGAUUCAUCACACAUCACACGAUCGAACAAAGUAGACACGUCCAGGACUCCAGGUCCAGCUUCUCUAGAUUUUAACUAUCAUUUGGACAUAUGGAUUUUAACUAUCAUAUGGACGCAUGGAUAACAUAGAAUAAUUCUAUAUACCAUCAUUUAGAUCUUGUCAUGGUUUGAUUUGCAUUCUUGAGAUCUAUGAAACCUACAAGGUAUAUGCUUGAAAAACCAUUAGUCUCAAUGACUAUGUUGUUAUUCAAUCACCAAAAUCACAAAUUAUAACCUAAUGGAGCCAUGUUUUGUACAAAUUGAGCAUAGAAAAUCACAACAUUCGGCACCACAGAGUUCAAAUGCGCUGCAAAACUAAGAUCCAUCACACGAAAGGAGACAUGUCGAGGCUCGAUCCAGCUACGCAACGGAGCGGCGCCGGCUCCAAGCAGGGCCGUACCAAAGUUUCUGAGGCCCCGGUGCGAAACACAAAAUGGGACCCUAUAUAUAGGAAAACCAAUAACCAAAGCAUAUUUCAAUUUUAUUAUGUAACUUUAUGUGUUUCAUAGUACUAUAAGAAGUACCGUAAGAUUCAUACUAACAAAAAGAUCUAUCAAAGUAAUGAAGCUCCCUAAUUAUGAUUCACAAAUAGAACAAAGCUAAAUUACGUUUAGGUCCCGUUUGGGUCCAAGGAAUUGGAAUCUAUUUAAUGGAGUAGGCUAAUUUAUGUUGGAAUGUGGCAUUCCACAACUUUCCAAAGUUUAGAUAUAAGCCUAUCUUAAAUUCAUGGGGUGGGAGAUGGAAAUUGAUUCUAUAGAUUAUGGUUAUUAGAAUGGAAUUCAAUUCUUAUAGCACGCUCUUAGACUCGCUUCUCUAUGGUAGAAGUGCAGCAUACAAGUAUCUCUCCCAUAUCACCAACUAUAAUAUACAACUAUAUUCCACAUACAAUUAUAUUAGCUUAAUUAAUUUGUGUCUAAAUUAUGAUUAUUAGGAUGGAAUUCAAUUCCAAUGAUCCAAACGGGGCCUUAAAGAUGAAGUUCACGAUAACUAAUAAACAGGGACAAUUUGCUUUCCUUGUAAUCAAACCUUGCUGCAAAUGUGAUGACUCAAGGUUAAUAGAAUUUAAGGGUGAGUAUUUAUCACAAGAUGACCAGAUAUCUAGGAAGCAAGAAGCGAGGCCAAUAACACAGGUGUUGUCGCGAGAUUCCGGCGUCUGCUUUGGCGGGACGUGGAUUCGUGGAAAGUAACAAGCACUUGUGUGGCUAAUCGCUGAUUAGGAGGCCCCUCAAAUUUUGUGGUCCGGCACGAUGGCGCCACUUGCACCGUGUGCUAUACGGAGUCCAGGUCCUGAUCCUCGCGGUGUUCUCGUAUACUCCCUCCGUCCAAAUUACAAGUUAUUAUAAUUUUUUAAAAGUUAAAGUAUCUCAAGUUUGAUCAAAUUUAUAUAAUAAAGUGCUAAUAUUCAUGAUACCAAAUAAGUACCAUUAGUUUCUUCAUUAAAUAUAUUUUCAUAGUAUAUCUAUUCGGUGCCAUAAAUUUUUGUGAUUCUCUUUGUAAUUUUGAUCAAAUAUAAAAUAGUUUGACUCUCAAAAAAAUUAAAAAAAAGUUGAAAUGACUUAUAAUUUGGAAUGGAGGGAAUAUAAAGGUAAGGGUUUGGAACGGUCAGGAGCAGGUGGGCUAACAACACCACCUGGAAGCCAACAAAGCGCGGGCAUUUGAAGGAAGCUGCCAUGGAAAAGGUAUCGACUGCUACUCCUACAUACGAGUAUCAUGGGCCAUGCUAAUCCGCACACACGGUCGUUGGAGGAGAUUCCCUGAUCAAUUUCUGACCACCGCUCUUCUUUAUUAGAAGUCAACCUGUUAAUUGGGUUGGAACCCAAACUGUAACCCACCAACCAAUUCUCACAAAUAUAUAAAUUUAACCCACUCCAAAUCAAACUUCCACCAUCACGCACCAUACCACCUCAAACUUUUUAGUGCAUAAGUUAUACAAACUGCUUGCCAAAUAUGGUUACAACCCAAUAAGAACCCAUUAGAUAGCUACUAGUAGUCAAACAAGUUGCAAAGACCUAUGUUACAUAUAUAUAUACAGGCUGUUCACGCUUGUUCUCUGAUCGGGUGCUGGUGCUACACUCCAUAGUAAGCCAGGAUGUUCUUCCAAAAACCUGACGUCCAAUCCAAAGGAUGCAUAAAAGCCUUUAUUACAAAGCAUAGACAAAGACACAAUACUGCCUGGUUCUAUACUCAGACGAUGCUCCAUAGUGCUAGCAUCAAUUGCUUGGGACUGAAUGCCAAGUACCAAGACUAGGAGUAGCUAAGAGUUAAAAUCUCAGAAGAGGCCACAGCAUUCCUCCAGCACGCAGCAGCAGCAGAGCGUGGCCAAACUGGAGAGGAACACAGAUCAAAAUGAGACCAAGUAAUUAAGAAGGACAUAUGACAUCAGGCAAAGCAAAUGAGAUCAAAAUAUAACAUGACAACAUGCCUAACAACAAUCUCUAUAUUAGCUCUUAAACAGACACGCAAACAAUGGUACAGGGACCAAAAGAUAAAUAAUGUUACAAGCAUCUUGCUCUCCCCUCUGCAGGACACUAGAAACAACUAACUUAAAACCAGAAUAAGCAAUAAGCAUCACCCUGAUGAGCUCUCCAUUAGCUGCAUAGAUCAAGUUCUCAUCCAACUCACAGGGUGAAUUGCAAUAUAAGCCAGAAUCAGCAGUAAUAUCUACUAUUUCGAGUAAACAUGGACCUCCUCUUAAAUUCAACAUACUAGUAAUAUGCAUUCAACUAUUCAAGACUCAAAUAGACCUUUGCUCCUCUUCUUUAUUAAUAUAUGAACAGCAGAACUCCUGCUUGUUCCUUUUUUAUUUAAGAAAAAAAGAAGACUUAAAUAGACCAGUGAACUCAAACCUGUGAUACUGCUAGCAUAAACAAACCUGAGAGAUGUCGAAGUCCAUUGCUCCCAACUUCAGUGUCUGAAAGCUCCAGGCUUUUUAGCUACACGAGGCCUACAGCACAUCAAGAUGCAAAUAUAGAUCAACUGAUACUUAGCAACUAAAAAAACACUCAAACUGUUACAUGUAGUAGCAAACAGUGAAAAAAAGAACAUAUAUGAGUCCAUCCAUUCAGUGUGUCUUUAAACAGAAAUAAAGCAUGUUAAAACAGAAAUAAAGGAAGUUUAAAAUAGGAUGUAUGUGUUGUGUAAAACCUGAUGGAGUGACAAAGGUGACCAUUUCACUAGUCUGAUCUUCACUAAUUUGUUGACUUGCAAUAUAAUGAGCAUAUAGUAAGUAAAUGAACAUGGAAAUAUGCACACAUGCCAAAACAGAAUGAGGGUAUACCUUCAUUGUCUGCAUCUUUUUCCUUGAAUAACCAGUCUUUCCCACACACAAGGGCUUCUAACAUCUUUGGAGUUAGUGAGCUUCUUGACUCCCCAAGAAUCCUACCUCUAAGACUAAAGGCUGAUUCGGAAGAAACGGUACUAAGAGGAAUGGCGAGGAAAUCACGUGCCAUAACUGAUAAGAUCGGGAACUUCUCAGCAUGUGCCUUCCACCAAGCCAAAAUGUCAAAGUUUUCAAUGUCUUCCACACAAUCUUCUUCAAAGUAGAUAUCAAAUUCAGAUUUUGGUGGACGAGUCUUUCUCCGACUUGACUUGAAGUUUGCAAAUUCUGAUCCUAGCUGCCUUUUCGCAAGCACCAGUGAGCCCACACAAAUGCUGCCCUCACUUGAAUAUGUAACAGAGUAUGCAUUAACUCUCCUCAAGCGUUGCUCAUACUCCAGGAAGUAUUUUUUCAUCCAAACUAGAGCAGCAUCAACACUUGAAUCAAUCCGAUCUAUAUUGCUACAAAUCUUCUGGUAGAAGAACUCUGCAUAUUCUGCUUUUCCCCUCGGAUCUAACAUUGCUGCCAUAACAAUUCCAAGGUUGACAUCAUAAUCCUUUUUAUUUCUGCGAGCAAUAGGCUGGUUUGACUCAUCAAAAUCUCUACCCCAAUACUUUUCAAACUUGAUCCUCAUGGCUGCAGCCAGGCCUUGUAGUGUCACACUUGUCUGCCAAGAAGGGUUAUCCAAGGCAUCCCAAAUUGAAACAAUUAAAGGCAAGAACAUGUAUGAAGUUGGUUUCCUAUGAGCCGAUAUUGCUUUUGUAGCCUCUUCAAAAGUUUUAAGAAACUUACAGAUUGAAUCAGCUGUGCUCCAUUCUUAUUCAUUUGGAGGAAUUUCUGCAUGUUGAUUUGCAUAGCUAUUCAGGACGGUCUUGUACUUUAUUGCUUCUGCAACCAUCUUGAAGGUGGAAUUCCAAUGGUUGGGUAUGUCAAGAGCAAUACCAUGUUUUGUUGGAAGACCAUUCACCACUGCAAUUUCAUUAAAAGCUUGCAUUCUUGAGGGCGAAGAGACAAUGUGCUUCAAGAGCUCCCGAAUCUUCUUUAUCCCCUCAUGAAUAAUUUUCAUCCCAUCUUGAACUAAAAUAUUCAGGAUAUGCGCACAACAUCUCACAUGCAAAUGUGCACCCUCAAGCAUCAACUCAUACUUGUGAGUAUCUACCAACAGGUCACAUGCAGUGUUGUUGUUACUAGCAUUGUCCACUAUGAGAGUAAACAAUUUGUUUCGUAUGCUCCACUCAGUCAAGCAGAUGACAAGUGCUUCUUCGAUAGCAAACCCUAUGUGUGGAUAUUUGACCUCUUUGAAACUUAUUAUCUUCUUCUUGAUCUUGAAGUCAGGAGUGAUAUAGUGAGCUGUUACAACCAUGUAGCCUAAGUUUUGAAUUGAUGUCCACAAAUUCGAUGUCAAGCACACAUGGGAGUCUAGGCUUUCAAGUUUAUUCUGAAUAUCUUGCUUCAUUCUUUGGUACUUCUUUAGACAAUCAUUGCGAACAGUUUGUCGUCCCACAACACUUAGAGUUGGCUGCAUGGACUGAACCCAUGGUUCGAAGUAUGGAUCCUCAAACUUGUUAAAUGGGAUUUUAGCAUGUAUGACAAACUCUAUCAUACGCUCACGACUAAAAUGAGGGUCAAACACAAAAUUCUCUAUUGGCUUCUUUAAGGUUGCGAUGAAUCUGUUCCUCUCGGCUUCCCCAAUUGCAUAACAAUAUUGAGAAAUGUGGGUUCUAAGGCUACUAGUUCCAGAUUUGGUGCUUAACUGCAUUUGACAAUACUUGCAAACAACUCUAAAACAAUUAUCCACUUCCACAAGAUUCUGCUUAAAAUGUUCCCACACCUUGGACCUUUUUGCACGUGUUUGAGUUGAAUUAGAGUCAUCAGAGCUUUCUGAUGUGUUAAGAGACAUGUUGAAGAAUCCCUAACAAUUUUAUGGCUUAUCAGAACUUAUUAGAGAAAUGAUUAGCUGCAGAUUUGAUUUAUACUUAUGGUUACAAGUUAAUGCCUUUCUUGUGUACAGGUUGAGUACUGAUUAUUUAAGUCCAGGAGUUAAUUCCUUUCAGCAGUAACUGGACUGAUUCUGCCAUCAUUUCCGAAACUAUUACUAGGAACAUAAUCAGAUAUACUAACAAGAAUAAAACAAACACAUAUGCAGGUUUCUAGAAGCCAUGUUCAGAGGUUUGGUUAUAUGUUCGAGAAGAAGAGAUUUGAUUAUAAAUCAAUUCACCAGUCAACCACGGGCAGACAAAGAUGGUAAUACAUGAAACCACUGCAAAGUAAAUUACCACCUAAAGCAAGAAUAUACCUAUAGCAACAUAUAGAAAUGUCAAUAGAUUGUCUGCCCAACCAUGCGGGAGUGGAAUCCAGAAUCAAAUUUCAGUUCCGAGGACUCUUCAUUUGGACUUGAAAGAAACUCCUCAGAUGUGCCAUCCCCAUCUACACAGCACAUAAGCACGAAUGCAUAUUAACUUGAGCCAUUUUUAUGUUACAAUCAUCGACACGAAUGCAAAAGAAUGUACACAUAUAGGUAAGCUAUUUGCCGAAGAUCUCAAUUAGCUCUCAUUUGCUCGAGGAAAACUACAAUUCAAUAUGUAAAAAGCAGAUAUUUAUACAGUGAAGUAGUGGACAUCCAAAAUUCACCAUUAAAGAUUUCAGUGUUGAUGCCAGCAUGUCCUGUUGUGAUUCUGUUCAAAUAUUGAUAAAAAAAGAUAUAUCAUCCCAUCCCAGGUAUCCAUAUUCCAUAAAGACAAAUGAAUCAGAGUUUAUACUUUAGCUGAAGUUCAUUCUAUAGCUACCUAGCAAACUAAGCACAAAAUCGAAGACUUUCCAUCAAAAGUGAUGUGCCGCUCUUGACAUUUGUGGACUGAAAGUUAAGUUUCCUACUUCUUUUUUUGUCCCGCAGCUGCACAGAUCAUGAUUGAUAGAGAACUCACAUGAUUGAUAGAGAACUCACUGCCUUCACCGCCGCCGCCGCCGCCUUCACUGCCGUCACCGCCGCCGCAUCUUGAGAGCCUUCACUGCCGGAUCUUCCCGAGGUUGGGUGGGACCGUGGGAGGCGUGGCCUGGUGCUUUUAUGGGUGAGGCGGAGGUGGUGGCGGCGGGAUCUCGGGAUGGGGAGGGAGGGAGGCGAGGUGGAGGUGGCGGCGGCGGGAUCUCGGGAUGGGGAGGGAGGGAGGCGAGGCGGAGGUGGCGGCGGCGGGAUCUCGGGAGGGGGAGGGAGGGAGGCGAGGCGAGGCGGAGGUGGCGGCGGCGGGAUCUCGGGAGGGGGAGGGAGGGAGGCGAGGGAGGGAGGCGGUCAGGCGGAGGCGGAGGUCGGCGGAUUCUUUAGCAGUUGGAACCCACGGGUACGACCCAUUAGAACUCCAAUAAUAACUAUCCCUCACCACACCACGCCAAACUGCUAGGGAGGUGGAGCCCAAACCAAGUGAAUUUGUUAGCAGUGUUGGCCCAUUAGCACCCAAGCUAAGGAAGUCCAAAGUAAAAUCCAAACUGUUAAAGUUAUUUCAGCCCAAACCAUUUGCAGGGUUAAUUAGAAGAAAUACGUUUCCAUUACUUUCUCUUUUUUUUUUUGGAAAAAAGUGAAAUGCAUGACCGGCCAAUACGUGUUAGCGUGUUUUGGUUUGACCAUCAUACUUUGAAAAUGUAAAUUGUGACCAUUAAACUCACCCGACUAUGGCAAUAUGAUUACUAGCUCAUUAAUCAUGCAUAUUUGGAGGACCUGGUGUACAUAGUGACAUGUAUGAGUUUUCUUUUCAAAAGACCACCUACGUAUUUAGCAAAUUAUUAUGUAUCUAGUAAAUACUGGUAGAUGGAUACUAAUUCAGUGACCAUUUGAUAUUCUGCAGUUCUGGACCACUUUUCAGUCUUACAUCUCCUAUCAUUUUCUCCUUUAUUAUUUUUUUUGAAACGAUCCUUUAUUUUUUUUCUCCUCCCACGUCCAUGCUUAAGCGGCAGCAAUAGGUGCUCGAGCUGCGGGAAUGAGUUGGAGGGAGAGGGGUAGCUGCCGUGAGCUCCACCGCCUUCACAAGCUUGUGCUGCUCUGAUGGUACAAGAUACGAGUGAAUUUCACCAGCAAUCCAUCAUGGUAAGGUUGAGCUGCUCUGAAGGCGGCUACAUCAGUGGCGGAGCUAGGAAUUAGACUUAGGAGCCGAGCUAAGUCAAGUGAAAAAGACAUACUUAACUGAUUGGACAUAGUUAUAAAAUAAAUAUACAUCAUGACAGUUUCCUGCUUUGGGAGUAGCUGCUAUAAGGACCAUCCUUUGCUAUAAAUGUUGCAUCUCCACUAUACUUAGUCUAAUUUUUUAAAAUACACAUCAUUAAAAGACCUAGCUAGAUGAGUACUUGUUAAGUAGUAAGUAGAAAUUUUAUAAACAUUUUGGAUCAUUAGGGGGGCAUGGCCUCUGCCAGCCCACUGGCUCUGGGCAAGAUGCAUGAUCGUCAACUCCCAGUCAAAUUAUCUCCCACCCAACUAGGAGCACGGUUUCCAAGGGACAAGAACGGCAACCGAAAAAUAGCAAUAAGAUGGCUUCAGUCAAGCCACUCGCUACUAACAGAGCGUGCCGGUGAACCUGUUGUUCUGAAGAAACAACCUUUUCAGGUUCUUUAGAUUUCCAAAGCCUUGCGGUAUCUCUCCGGUAAGCUGAUUCCUCGACAGAUUAAGCAAAAUCAAGUUGGUCGCCGUGAUAUCGCGCGGCAGGUUGCCCGUGAAACCGUUCUCGUCCAGGCAGAGGUACUCGAGCUUCUCGUGUUGAAACACCCAUGCUGGGAUGGAUCCAGUGAGUUGGUUUUGGUAAAGAAACAUCAAUGUGAGUUUCUUGAGAUCCCUGAAGGCUUCCGGUAUCUCUCCGGUGAGAUGAUUCAUGGACAAAUCAAGCUCAAUCAAGUUCACCGCCGAGACGUUUCGCGGCAGCUCACCUGAGAGGCCGUUGCCAAACAGGUAGAGGUACUCGAGCUUCCCGUGCUGCAACACCCACGCCGGGAUUUUGCCGGUGAGUUUGUUCGACGACAUGCGGAGCACCUUGAGCUCCGUGAGGCUGGAGAACGCCUCGGGGAUCUCGCCAUUGAGGUUCAUGCCGCUCAUCCAGAGGUAGUUCAACUUGGUCAGUUUGCCGAACUCCGGUGGCACGGGAGCCGGGGCAAACGGGUUAUUGGCCAGCGCGAGCAUCUCGAGCCUGACGAGCUCGCUAAUCCCGGCCGCCGGGUACGCACCGCUGAAGCGGUUGGUGUCGAGCAGCAGGGACUUGAGCGCCGUGAGUCUCGCUAUCGUUGGCGGCACCUCGCCGAUGAAGAGGUUGGUGGAGAGGUUGAGGUGCUCCAUCGCCGGCGAGAGCCUAUCGAUGUCGGCCGGGAGGGGCCCGGAGAGGUGGUUGUUGGAGAGGUCGAGGAAACGGAGCUGCGCGCAGGCGUAGAGUGCGGCUGCGGGGAAGGCGCCGGUAAGGGUGUUGUAAGAGAGGUCGAGGCGGGUGAGGUUUUUGAGCGCGCACACUGACGCCGGGACCGGGCGGGUGAGGUUUAGGCCCGGGAAGGAGAGCUCCGUGACAAUCCCGCCGCCGGCGCACCUGACGCCUUUCCAGGUGCAGUGGUUGGCGGCGGUGGCGGGGUCCCAGUACGCGAGCUGCGUAGGGCUGCCCCAGUCCUUCUUUACGGCGAGUAGCGUGUCGCACUCACCGCCGGCCGCGGCGGUGUGCUGGGACUCGCCGGCAAGGGGGUAGAGAAGCAAGACGAGCAGCAGGGGGGAGCGGCAGCUGGUGCUCGACCCUGACAUUAUUUUUCUCGUAAGCUUCCUCGGCGUGUGAUCUGAGCGGAGGGACGAGGAUAUAAAUAAUAAGUGCCCUAUGCUUAUAUAUAUAAAAAAAAAUAGGCGGCAGCGUGUGCGCGAGGCACGACGUGGUCAGCUCAGCUUCCAACUUUGGCCUUGUUUAGUUGUCAAAGUUUGAAGGUGCCAAAUUACUGUUACAAUAUUGUAGCACACUGUAGUGUUUCGUUUGUAUUUGUAAAUUAUUGUCUAAACAUUGACUAAUUAGGCUUAAAAGAUUCAUCUCGCAAAAUACAACAAAACUGUGUAAUUAGUUUUUAAUUUCGUCUACAUUUAGUACUCCAUGCAUGUACCGCAAGUUUAAUGUGAUGGAGAAUCUUCGUUUUGCAUAGUGCCAAAGUUGGGAGUUGGGGUGAACUAAACAAGGGUUUUAUUUUUUAUGGAGCUGCUAGCCCUACGCUUAUAUAUAUAAAAAAAUAGGCGACAGCGUGGUAUCCUUGGUGUGAGCGUGUGCGCGAGGCACGACGUGGUCAGCUCAGCUUCCAACUUUAUUUUUUAUGGAGCUGCUAGCGUCCGGACCAGAUCAGAAAUUCCAGCUUCAACAAAAUGACGAUGUUGUGGUUGGUCACCGGUCAUCCUGAUCUAGGCACACAAGCUUGAGCGCGAGCAAUCCUCCAAUGAAUUCCUCCUCCACAAGGCAUGCUUAGUGCCAAAACUCAGUUGAAACAUGUAUCAUGUGCACCAAAAAGAAUUGAAUUCAUAAUACCAAACUAUAUACCCAUCUCAACAUUGAAAAGUACCAUAUGCAACAUCGAUAUCAAACGUUUGAAACAUAAAAAAUGUGCAACAAAAAUAGCUCACAACUGCUCAACUGCAUCUGACUCCGUGUACUCAUGAUCUCCACUCCUUGAUCAAUCUCAAAGAAAAACCAGAUGAAAAUAAUUUCAAAUCAUAACUCCUCCUGUCGGUGUUUAGACAUGACAACCUACCGAGAGGGGUGCCCGAGUAGUGUUUGGUUUGUGGGGCUCGCCGAGAUCAGGAACUUGAAGGUGAAAUAGACACACGAUUUAGACAGGUUCGGGCCACUAGAUUGCGUAAUACCCUACGUCCUGUGUGUUGGUUGGAUUGAAUUGCUUUGGAGGGGGUCCCUGCCUCUCCUUAUAUUGCCAGGAGCAGGGUUACAGGUCAGUUAUUUUACAAGAAUACUAGACUAGGUGAGUCCUACUCUGAAUGCUACGAGUACUUCUCCUGAUCCUCGACUAGUUCCUGUCUUGCCACGUAUACUAUGCCGUCCUGCGCCAUAGUCUCCAUGUCAGAUACAUCUCGGUGUCCAACCCUGUAUGUAAGAAUAUCCAAACCUUCUGGUGGGCCCAUAAAUGUAUAUACGACAAGCUCCCCAGUACUUUUUAGCCAAAUGCAGCAGUCUUGAGUACUUUUGUAGACUUCACCAACUAGUUUUGGUGCUCUUUGAGUACUUCAUUGAGUUCACUCUUCAAAGGUACGCGAGCACUGCCAUGCGGCUAGAAUAUGCUCAAGCCUCAUUUAACUUAGUCUCGAAUCCUUCAUCUCUGAAUUUUAUAUGGAAGUGAGACAAAAGUCGCACUCCAUAUGGAGUAGCCCCCAAACCUUAGGUUGAAUCGAAGAAUCAAGCUGAGGGUCAAUCUGUAAUUUGCAUCAUUUUCCUCUUAAAACCCAAAAGAAAAAACAUUUUUUGCCGAUAGACACGUGGCACACAGCCCCGAGCCUUUUACCAACUAGUUUGAUGGGUAUAAAGGUCAACCUUUGGUCAACGUGACCAUCUAUGAAUAAUAACCUUAUCUCUUCCGAAAAUUGAGGUAACUGCCAAUCAGGUGCGAAAUUUUCGGGUCCAUUAAACCUGAAUAUUCCUUUAUUCCGGCUCCUGUUACUACGCCAUGGUUAUAAUAACAGAGGAAAACAUCCCUUCCAUUUUACCUUUGCCAUAUGCUCUUUCAACUUCCACACUACUGUGGCGACCGACCCCAAAUCUUCCAAGAUUAAUCCUAAUCCGAGCCCCUGAUCACCUGUCUUAGCUUUUCAAGCCUAAGUGAUCAACCUUCAGACCGGUCCCGACCCUGAGACCCGACCCCUCUCCGCUGGUCUCCAGUUCUGACCCCGCCGACCCCAACUCACCGCAGGAUCCUUCUAAGUCUUCCCCAACACCUCCCUGUAAUCUGACCCGGGGACCCACGAGAUCUUUUCUCCCAGAUCCCCCGCAACAAGCGCACUCGAUUUGCAUGCCCGCUCCAGAGUUUCCCCGCCGCGUGGCUCAACUUCUCCGACGCUGUCGCUCCGCCUCGUCUCUGGCCCGCGACCGAAUGGAUUCUCGCGCCCCUUCCCCAAUUGCAGCGGAAGCCCCUCUGCAACCUUUCUGCAGCACCUCGCCACCCGCGCCCAUCAUCACAUCGCCAGAUCCCGGCCGCAGAGCCCGAUGUCGCCCGUCUUUUCCGUCACUUCGACACAACCGCGCCGCCUGUUCUUCGCUACCCGACGAUUCCUCCUCCGCCAACCCUGGCCACGGCCGCGACAGCUCCUUUCCCCGCCCUGUCAGAAGCCGCCCGACAAUCUGUUGUUCUGCGCGCCCGCGGCCGCCUGUCUUCUCACCUGUGCGCCCUCGAUUCUAGCGCCGUUAACCCGGUCACUUCCAUCAACUCUACCGCACGACGACGCCCGCCUCCGCCAAAUCUCAACCACCGAGUUACCCGCUCCUGCGCCGCCCUGACGCCAGAGCCUAAUGACCGCUGGCGUCAUCCCCGAAGUCCUGCUCCACCGCCCUCGUCGCUCAAUCGCCGCCCAGGCAAAGCACUCCAUUGCUUCUUCCCCGGCCUUCGCGCCGCUCCCCUUCUCGCUCCUGCGCCACUCCCCUUCUCACUCCCGCGCCGCUAUAAGAAGAAAUGCGCGAGCCCCGCCGGAGUUCCCUUCGCCAUUGCUGCCUUUCCGCCUUUUCGCUUGCUCCCUGCUCGAGCUCCCAGUGCCACCCCACUAAGUUCCUGAGGAACUCUCCUCUCCGAUCCACACCGUUUUCCCCAAGCCAGCCAGCCGCUUGCUCCUCUGUGCUGCGUAAGAGCUUACUUGUGAUCCACAAGAAGCACCGCCGCCGCCGGAGCACUGCCGGACCUAGCCGAUGUUCAAAGCCUUAGCCCCUCCACCCAAGUCUGCUUCUUCCCGACCCCAAGCGUUCCUUGUAAGAAGAAGGUAAGCUGCCGACCCCUGGUCCACCUCGUCCGACCCCUAUCCGCUUCGCCCGACCCCUCUUAUCCGCCCGACCCCGGUUCCGUCUCGCCCGACCCUGUCUGUUCCGCCGACCCUUCUCCGCCUCGCCCGAGGGCUCGGCUGAAUCUUUUUCUUCAAAACAAGGGGGUAUGUGUAAAACUUGGGAACCUUUCAGCGUUGAGUCUGAGGAUCCCUAGCACACCAACCCUCUAGUUUGGGGGUCAGAUCAUAAGCUCUUUUCUCCAACCUUACCUCUUGAUCUCCACCAGCUCCCUUGAACCUUCCCACCCUCCUGCUUUUUGUCGCGAGUUUCUGGGCUCAGACUUGCAAGGGUUGCUGUUGAAAUAACUGUCUAUGCUAACUAAUGCAUUGCAUUCGUGUAGAGCUGCAUCUCGCUGACGGCUUCUACGAGCUGCACCCGGCGCCAGAAGACGACGGUGUAGCUGAGCUCCUGCCCUCUGAAUCCGAAGCCGCCCCAGAAGUCGAGCAGUUCUCUUCCUCCUUGCUCGAAGGCAAGCCCCGGUUGCAUGAAAACCCUGUGUUGUUUUACCAAACUUGCGCAUGCCUUCUUUAACAUGCUUGUGCAUUUACGUAUAGGAGUUGUUUGGAACCCUAGACGCAUAUCGUAGCUUCCCUGAUCUGAACACUAGCUGUUGGACCGAGUAGCUGCUUGCUUAAAUAGGAAGCGGUAAAAGUCGAGUGAUUUCCUGUCACUCGCGAGUUGUAGGAGUUGGUUGUCUACCCUUCUGUUACAACUGUAAGGACGAUGGACGGGGCAGGGUUUGGGUAACUCUUUGGUGGUCGGUUGAUCGCCCCGUCUAUCUAUGAAACUUGACUAAGGCCCGACAGUGGUGGUGUUCGUGAUCAAGUGUUUGAAAGUACUAACCUCAUACUUAGUAUAGGAUGAGGAAGCCUAGUACCGGAUUGAACCUAGACGUGAGCGGUCGCCCCAUUGUUCUUGGAACGGAGUUUCCCCUGCUGGUUGUCGCACGUGGUGGCAAGCGUGGUCACAGAACGGCAGAGGCCGGGUCUGUGGAACCUUGCACCAAAGGAAAUGGGCCCGACACGGGUUAGGGGAUUGAUGGGGAAGGCCGACACGGGAAGCGACCUCCGGGUGCGCGGAUGUCGUGAGGUUAGGUUCACCAUGCAUGGUUAAAGAACUCGAAUCGAUUCGUCUACCUCUCACAGUUUGAGACUGCUUGAUCGCUAUGUCACCCUGAGUAAAUGAGGAAUCUGAUGAUGACAUGGUUUUGUUGAUAUAUAUACAAACCUUGGUUGAUUCUAUGAUUGUUUAGAAUAGUUGCAAACUUAGACCGGAUAAUGAACUUAGAACUUGAGCUAAAACUUGAAAAUAAGGUUCUAUUUAGUGCUUUUGGCAAACAAAACCCCCAGCCAAAAAGCCUUGCAUGUCUAGUUCUGUGGUGUAGCUUUACUCCCUGUCGGUUAAGUCAUGUUGAGCUUAGUAGCUCAGCCUUAUUGUGGCUCCUGUUUUCAGGUGAAGUUUCUGCCCCCGACCCUUCUUCCGUUGGCACUUGGCCGCCCCAGCUCCCUCCGGGUUGGACGGUCGAGUGGGAUCCCUCCUCGGACGGCGAGGAGAGGGAUCAGUGAUGUCCCGGCUGGCCUCACCAGGGAUGUCCGACCCCGACAUUUUGCUUCCGCUAGUGGUUUUACCUUCUGUUGUUUUUCUUGAAAUCUUGUAAAACUCUGAUGUUUAUUUCAUCACCAAACUAAGUGGUUAAGUUGUUAACUCGGUGGAUUUGUUGUAUUCUCUGGAACCGCUCACCUUCGUGUGGGCCUGCUAAAAUGGUCCUGUUCACGUGGUUAAAUCGGAAGAAAUCCGACGGCACUUCGUGUUUACUCGGCUUAGGCAUGAGCGUCGCGUAUUAUGCGGCUAAAUCAUGUUUAAUCAAGUAGAUCCGAAGUGGAUCCGCCACAACUGUAUCCCUAGCGCCGCCACCACCUAAUCUUCGAGCGCUAGCACCGCCAUCCCCCAUCACUCAGCUCUCGAGCGCAUGCGAAAGAAAACACUCGUGACAUUCAGAAUGGGGAAGAAAAUAGCUGCAUCCAAGGCGGUCGAGGGAGGGAAGAAGAAGGUGGACAAGAAGAAGGAGCUUCAACUUCUGACACCCAAGUACGAGAAGACGAACCAAACUGUGCCGCCAACCCCUACGUGUGCUUGGAAACGAUCCCCUCCGUGUGCUUGGAAACGAUCUACUCUGAAGGAGGAGGAGAUCAAGAAUCUUGUGGCUGCCAACCUAGUCCAAGAAAAAGAUGUCAUCAACUGGAGACCCGCCUUCGGCGACCCGUGGCCACUAGAGGAGUACCCAGAGGAACGGUAAUCUUCGUGCAUUUCAUUGAGCGUGGUCUUGCUUUACCGGCGUCAGAUUUCUUCUGGGGUCUCUUGGAUUAUUACAAAUUGGAGCUUAUACAUUUGAAUCCCAAUGGCAUUUUGCACGUUGCGAUUUUUGUGCAUUUGUGCAAAGCUUUCUUGGGGAUCCAACCUCACUUCCAACUGUUCUGGAAGUUGUUCCGAGUGAAGCCACAGCCGAAGAGAGAACACACCGAGGUAUUCAAAGGUGCCAGAAUUCAAAUGAGGGAGAAGCUCAAGGACCUCUAUUUAGAUUAUGAGCUAAUUGACUCACAUUCCAGGUGGAAUGAGAAAUGGUGCUACAUCGGCAACCACAACCCCAAGCUCCCCAAGUUAAUUGGACAUCACCCAACCUAGAACAACAGAUGGUUGGAUGAACCAUCCCAUGGAGACUGCUUGCAACUAUCCGAACUCCUGGACAGGAUAUCCAAGCUGAAGCAGGAAGGAUUAACAGGAGUCGGAGUAGCAUUUAGCUUCAUGAAGCGGUGGACUCAACCCCUGUAGCUGCGAUGCCGCUGGGGUUGUGAGUACUAAGGAGUUAAUGAUCCAUCAAGAAUGUCUCACGAGGAACUUAGCACAGAUAAAGUCAUGGCACGGUUGAGGCAUAUGUUUAAGAAUGCAGGUGAAAUACCCACCAUUAUGCGAGAGUUCUGUGUUGCCAACCCGCCAAAAGCUAUAAGUACUCGUGGCCGCAACCCCCCGAGGACUCAUUUUGGUAAUGUUCGGGUGUACUAACUUGUUUGUCUGUGCAGGAAGAUGUACAUUUGUAUUGCUUUACUCCUCCUCCUCUCGGGGCAGAAGUCAUUUGCGAAGCUGCUCAUCGUGUCCACACAAUACAAAGUGUGGAGAGUGAAGCUGAUGAGAGGAGGAAGAAGAAGAAGUUGAGGCCUCUAGCAGCUCUGAUUCUGAAGUUGCUGGGGACUUUGAAAACAAGGCCCGGCUGAGGGAUAUAGUACCCCACGGGUCCCCACCGACCAAGAUGCCAGUCGGACCUGACAAGUGGGCUCGUCCGACCAGGACGUGCGGGUCGAGAACUUGAAGUUACUUGGAGUACACGACAAGGCAUCAAGACUGUCCAAAUCUACCCGAACAUUCUGGAACACGUAUUGCAAUCCGAUUUAGAUUGCUUUCCAUGUAAAGACCGAGUAGAUUAGAUUCAAACUAACUUGUAACUCUUGGUCGUCGGACUAUAUAAGGCAGCCAAGGGCACCCCUAAGGGAAAUGAUCCCAACGAUCAUCAAAUCGACUCUCAUACCGAGCAAUACAAUCCACACAUAUAGGACAUAUGGUAUUACUCUUUGGAGGCCCGAACAUGUCUAAAACUCCCGUGUUCCAUCGUGUUCUUGUGAUUACCAUCGAGUUCUUGAUUUCGUGACCGCCGUCACCUACAAAUCAACUACUUGGGUAACCCCCUAGCGGACUGCCAGAUCCAUAACACCAACACCGGCCAUUUGAUAAGGCUGGGUCAUCCUCUGGAUCAUCGAAGCACGUAGCUGAAGAUGAUCUUGAAGCUGCGCUUGCUCCGCCGAAGAAAUAGACCGUUGCUGCGACGCGUGCCGUGAGGAAGCCUCUCACUGCAGAAGACAUACCCCCAGCGGUAAUAACUUAUGACAAUAUGACCUUGGUGGUUUGCAGGUAGUCGGGGAGGUGGCCGAGGCGGAGAAGGCGACUACUGAAGUCGCGCAACACAAGCUGCCUGCCAUCGAGGAGGUCAUCGAGAUUGAAGAUGAUUCGGAACCUCUCGUUGCUGGGGUAGGCCCUGCCGGCGCAAGAACUACUCGAGGAACAGAGGCGGCAUCGAAGGCUAGCGAUGAUCACACUCGGACCCAACAAGCCGUGCCAAAGAAGCCGUCCCUGACUGUCAAGCCACUGCGCCUGAUAAGGGAGCCUUGUCUGAAGCUGAGGAGAUCUUCAACGUAAGUCUUGCUACUCCUUUUGAGUACUAAUUGCAGUUUGUGAUCGACUUGUUGUAUGCCUUUGAGAACUUGUCUUAUGUAGGAAAUCUUCUAAUGUGGAACUUGGAGGGCCGAGCUUGAAGUUCGUGACUGAUGGUAGUAGCCACUCGGUACAGGACGUCUUCCCAGCUCAAACAAAUCCACAGCUAGAAGAACAUCCUGCACCGCUAAAUAACCCAGGUGCCAUAUCUCUCAUAGCAGCGUUGACACAGGAUGUAAUACCUUCGUUGACUAACGCUGUAGUGCCAGCCCCCAAGCAACUAGUGCCCGAGGCCGCAGUGGCAACUACCUUUGGCACCAUGGCUACUCUCGUAGCCCCCAAGCCAGGGGUAGAAACUGAAGCAGUGGAAGUGCUGGAAGUCGUGGCGGCCGUCCCAUCUUCUGAGCUGAGUCCGUCGACAAGUCGUGCCAUGGUUCCACUCAGCGUGGCAUACGUUGAGACACAUGGGGACUCGCUGGCAGCUGAAGAACUUAAUCUUGAAGACAUUCAGUUGAUCUACGACCUGCUGCUAGACAUGGAAAUGGUGGCUGGAAUGAUGGAGAUGUACUGCCGUGUUGGUGUAUAUGUAUAGGUAUGCUUUAAUCCUGCUUAUUCCAUAACUUGAAAUCAUUACUCGGACCAUGACAUGAGUACGUAUUCUGUGGUGCAGGAUGUCAUCAGGUGCUCUCGGUGGAAAUGGUAGAUGCUGUAAGGCUAUGGGGAUUCAGUACUCUGUGCUGAGGCCCUUGCCAAGGAGCUUGCCAAAGAGAUGGAUUACUCCUCCCGACUGCUGAUGAAGUAUGACGGACAAGCUGCCAAGUAUAGGAACCGCGUUUAGCAGUUGGAGGAGGAGAAGGACCAUCUCAAAGGUUGCAACAAGUCUUUGAACCAGGAACUAAGAGGUAAUUUAUCUUCUCCCUUGGUCUUCGAGUACUAAUUUUUCUUUACAAUACUAAACUUCUUGUGUAUUAUUCCUGCAGUGCUCGAGAAAUCGAAAGAGGAUCUCCAAGCCAAGUCAUUGACUGGAUGUAACACCUAGUGUUAUUAGAAGCCUAAGAAGGGCAUUAAGAGGUUAAUGAUGAAAUUUGGAUUAAAAGGAGAUAUUAUGGGCCAAAGUCAAAUUUGACAAAAAAUUCAAAUUUAAGAUUCAAAUUUGGAAAAAUUUGACAAAAAUGUAAAAUCAAGCGUUGAAGGUAUUUAGAAUUCAAAAGAAUCAAGUUUGAAGUCAAAUUCAGGUCAUAGACACCUCAACUGCAUAGUCAAAGAUGGAUUGACUUGAGUUACUAUUCACUGUCUGAAAAUACUCAAGUCUGAAAACAGUAACAUCUAGCCAACUUUGAAAUUAAAUUCUGAAAGAUUUUGCAUUGAAGCUAGAAGAUGUUUUGAAACCCAAGUGGACUCUGAUCUACAGGGAACCUAUUGGGUAUGUUACUGGCCAGAGAAAACAAAGAAUCCAUAGUUUAAAUGGGGUUCAAAGUUUGAAUGUGGUACCAUUUUCAGCUUAGCUGCUGAAACUGAGUUAAGUCUGAAAACGGUGUGGAGUAGGCCACUUUGAAAUUCAAUUCUAGAGAAUGUUUCAUUUACACUCUAAAAAACUUUGGAUCCCAAGUGAGCUAUGAUGACCAGUAAUCACCCUGAGCAUGUUGAUGGACAAGGAAAGAGAAGGAUUCAAAUUUUUCUAGGAGCUGAAAGUUGGAAUCCUUCACUGUCAGUUUAACUGACAAAGACUGAAAGGCUAUCGCCAUUCAGUCCUAAGGACAGUGCAAAAUGGCGAUUUUUAGCUUGAUAUUUUUGAAAAAAAUGUAUGUAAGAGUUGGGUUUUUAUAUGCAAAAUGGAACCCCUUUCAUAUGGUUAAUAAGAUCCAGUAGAUGUUGGGCAAAAUAAAUUAAGUUUGGACAUUUGAAUUUGGACUUAAAGUGGAGCAUCGGGCUAAUUUUGAAGUUUCUGACGAAACUGAAUGGAAGGGGCGAUUCACUUCAAGACUGACAUAACCCUAGCUCAAGUUUGAGGCUGAAAUUCAAGGUGAUGGAGUGAUCUGUGGAUCUCGAUGCAAAUCAAUCAAAUGUAGAGCACAUGAUCCUCUACAACUUUGGUUAAAGUCUUAUGGUAGUUGGGUGAUCGGUUUGGAUAGAAUUCGACGAUGAACAAGCCAGGUUCAAAGAAAAAUGUUGCCUGUUACCGCCUUUGGUCAAUAGUCCGUCUGCCUGCUUGCUGAUAGUGUUGCCGCUUUACCUCGCCUGGCCGCCAUGCAACUACUACCUCGCCACCGGAGCUCCCUACGUGUUGCGCGCACACCACCUUGGUCGCUUACCCUCUAUCAUCUCCUCCGACCUUUACAAACUGAGCUGUUGUCGUCGUCCGUCUCUUUUCCUCACCGCAAGAACAGAGCCACGCCUCUGCUCGAUUCCUCAAGUUUGCUUGCCUCCCGUUCUAAUCGCUCGUGCUCAAAGCUCCACCACCAACUAAUCAUCGCUCCCUGCCCCUCGUUUCCGCAGCUUUGCGCCGGCGAGCUUGUCCCUGCCUUUCUUCAUGUCCGCUGGCCGCCGUAGCCACCUCUCCGGUGAGCCCCUUGCGUCGCCCCUCUCCGCCCAGGUUCUUAGUCCUAAGCGCGUGUGUAGGCCUUGUAGAAGCUUGUGAGCGAGCUUUUGGCUGGAGAGCUGCCGUCGUUGCCGCCCGCACCGGCCAUGUCCCGGCCAUGCCCGCCGCCGCCAUCGAGAGCCCGUGCACAGCCCGUCCUCUUGGACAAUAGCACCACCAAUGGAUGCGCAAGAGCCUAGAGGGCAUCCCCGGCUAGUCCCGCCGUCGGGAACCUCGCCGCCAGCAAGCUUUCGCUGCGCGCCCGUGGUCAAUGGCCAGGCAGCUGUGCUUGACCAGGGGGCCCGUGUGUCUGUGUUCUUGGGUAGGAGGAGUGCGGGUGAGGAAAAAAGGUCUCCAGGGUUUUUUUGGGAAAAUGGUUUAAGGUAUUUAGAAAUUAGUUUUAAAUCCAAUUUUCAUGUUUGACUCAGUAUAAUUUAUAGAAAUGUCCAAAAAUAGUGAAACCAAUUUUGUUAUGUUUGUUUUAUUUUUCCUUUAUGCAUUAAAAUUCUUAAACCCUAGGAAAAGAUAAUAAAAUUAGGUAUUUAUUUAGUACCUUUAUUUAAGGAAUUUAAAUAAAUAGUUAACCUUUAUAAAAUGUAUAAAAUUUUGAAUAAUGUUUUAUUAGCCACAAAUGCUCAUUAAUCCAUAGGAAUUAGGUUUUGAGAUUAGAAAUUAUUUAUAAUGCUUUUUUAAAUAAAAGAAAAGGCUUAAGUUAGGUUAGUUAAGAAAGUAAUUUGUGGGUUAAUCUUUUAUGGGUAGUUUAGUGUUGGCUUGCAACUUUAUUUUGAAGAGAAGUUGUAUAGUCAGUGUUUCAGGAAGUUUUGCAUAUUCUAAUUGUGACCUCCAUCAUAUCGUAGAAUCUGAAGCUCUUGAAGUGGAUUUCGUGGAUUUAUCCAAAGAUCGUUAGGAGUUCGAGGAGUCAUUGAAUGGUUUUCCGAGGAAACUAACAUUUUUUGAUCCCAAGAAAGCCCCGGUGCAUCUAAGCCUAUCUAAUUUUAGAAAUUAUUAUUCAUGAGUCCGUCUAUUGGUUAUUUUCUUAUGGAUGCAUUAAGUCUAGGAGUUGAUUGCAAACCACUCUUGUGCAUGAUCCUACCUUGUAUAGAGGACAUCUUUGCCACCUGUUCAACUAAUUAGUAACUAUCCUUUAAGUAACUUUGGUUACUCAACUCUAAGGUUAAUUUUGUCAUACAUGUUAAUCAAGGAAAAUAGCUUGGUAUUUUGGAAAUGUGGACAGAAGCUAGAGAUGGUAGUUCUGUCUGCUAAGUUAAUUUGGUUAAAGCUCGUUCGUUGUCUUAAGCUUUGAUCAAGUGAUUUUACCUAGUUCCUUACUGUAUAUGGGACCAGCAAAGCACGGUAGGUUAGUUGGCUCUCUGAUCGGGAAUAUUUCAUACCCAUGCUUGGCGUGCAGUGGAAAGGCAGGGGCGUAGCUUGAAACUCACAUGGAGAUCAGGCCAGACAUGGGGUCCCAUGUGGGGGUGCGUCCCUGGGUUCGAGUGGUCAUAUUCCCAAUCUUUGGGUACGGCUAAUAGAAAGGUUGUUAUGUGCAACCCGGACAGUUGUGCAUGGUUGCUAGUCGGGUAUCUCCUGCAGGAUGUGAAUCGGUUCGGAUCGCUGCAAUUCUUUGUUAUCAAUGCACAACAGUCUGGUGAAGAGGAAGACCCGAAGAACUAGGGUAUUUUGUGAGUCUCAUAAUACCCUAGUAAUUAACUUAGUUGUCUAAUUACUUGACUUCCCAGUCUUGUUUAAAUUUGAAACUCUUAGAAUGAUUUAACUUACACUUUAAGUUUAUUUCAAUCUAUGGUUUGUAAUAAAUCGCACCUUCAGUAUUUAUGUAAAAAUGUAAUGUUUGUUGAUCCUUUCCCAUCGUGGAAGCGAUCCUGAUGUAUGGCUAAGCUUCAAGUCAUGGAUGAUUCGAGGCGUCCUGGGAACACUCAACUGGCUACUAGAUUUAAACUGUUUUCAGUGCGUUUUGGAUAAUUAUUGUUCCAACAAUAAUUAGGCGCACUUAAGUCAGUUUAAGUCAAACGGUUCUACCACACUGGAAGAACUCCUACUAUCGGGUGAUGGACCAGCUGAUAAGCUGACUAGAUUAUAUGAGAACCUAGACCAUCACCUAAAGAAGGAGAAGAAGAUGCGCGAAGAUGGUGAGGUCAACUUGGUCAAUGCCAUGAAGACCCUCCAGGAGUGCGAGGCCGAGCUGAAAGCUACGAUACUUGCUUUGAAGGAAACAUUCGAAGCAACCUAGCCAAUUGCAGACAUGGUGGAGCCCCCAGUUGAGGCUGUAGAGCCCCACCCUCUAUCUGAAAUACUCAAGGAAGUGCCAGCGAAGUUCAUCGGCUACGUCCAGAGGAUAGCAAAGUCUAUAUCUAAGUAGCUGUUGAGCUUUGUGAAGUUCUUCUACUCGCAAGCUGAUCUAGCUCCUGUUGCAGAAGGUACAGCGGAGGACUCCUUAGAUGAGCUCUUCCAGCAGUACCCGCAAGAGAUGGACCCUAUCAAGGAAGAAGUAGAAAAUCAUUUAGACCUUGAGUAGUCCUGUACAAAAUAUUAGUUCUUGUAAUGUAAACAUGAUAUGAAUGCUCUGAAAUAUAAAUAAUUCUAAGUCAUGCUGUAAUUUUUAUUGCUUUCGACUUGUUGUUUUAGUGCAUCUUACGAUCUACUCUGAUUGCUCGUAUGGUAGAUGUAAGUGUCUGCGCACAAGGCUACUCUGAUGAGCCUUUAGGAUGUGACUCCUUUCUGUGGAGUACGAGUACUCACAGCAUUUUGGUAGUUAGACCUCUUAGGCGAGUAGUCUCUUCAGGAUUUCUUUGACUAGAGCCUAUCUUUACAACCUCUCUGGGUUGUAUUGAUGUUGUGCUCUUGAACACCUGGAACUACGAGCUUGUUAUUACAAGUCGCGGCUAGAUAGAAUUAUCUAGUGGAGGGUAUCUCAGGUAGUGUAGGUAACUCCUGAAAUGCUGACGACUUCUUUUCUGCAAGCUGCCAAGAGACAGAUUUGUCCAAUGAGUUGACUAGCUCAUGAAUUUUACUGUAGACUUGUCUUUGCAAGUUGCAUUUAAACAAUUUUAUCUGGUGAGUUGAAUAACUCAAAAAGUUUUUGCAGACUUGUUGUUCCAAGAUGCAUGUAGGCAAUUUUGCCCAAUGGUGAGUUUAGCUUGGGAAGUCCCGUGGUGUCUUGGAUAUGCUUGAGGACCAUAUCGCCUAUAUUGAACGAACAUUCCUUGAUGUUGUGAUCAUGAUAGCGGCAGAUUCCUUCAACGUACCUUGCUGACUGGACGAGUGCUGCACAGCGAGCUUCUUCAAGGCUGUCUAAAUCUAGACGCCUUGUUUCUUCUAUUGCGCCCUCCUCGUACUGCUCGACUACUGAAGAUUUCCACAUGACGUCGGUGGGGAGGACAGCUUCGGAUCCGUAGAGCAGGAAGUAGGGUGAUUGUCCUGUAGGUUUGCAUGACUGGGUACGGAGCUCCCAAAGGAUAUUGGGUAGUUCUUUGAGCCACUUGUCCCUUUCGUGUUUCCAAUAUCAUGCAAUCUUUUCUUGAGAGCUUCUAGUACCAUCCCGCUAGCGCGCUCGACAUGGCCAUUGGCCCGCAGAUGACCAACAGAGAUAUACCAGACAUCGAUCCCGCUAUUCUCGCAAUAUUCCUAAAACUCGUGAUUGUUAAAAUUGGAGCCUAGGUUUGUGAUAAUGCGAUUGGGGAAGCCGUAGCGAUGGAUGAUUUCAUCGAGGAAGUCGAGUACUCUAUCUGCCUUGGGGCAGGUUACUAGCUUCGCUUCGAUCCACUUUGUAAACUUGUCAAUCACCAUAGUACUCGGUUAAAUCCUCCAGGCGCCGUGGGCAGUGGGCCAAUCAUGUUGAUGCCCUAGCAUGCGAAGGGCCAAGAGGAUGGUAUGGUGAUCAACUUGUAGGCAGGGACGUGUUGUUGUUUUGCAAAGAAUUGACAUCCUUGGCAUCGGCGAACUAGUUCUUCGGUGUCAGCAAGAGCUGUAGGCCAAUAAAACGCUACUUUGAAAGCUUUGACCAUGAUCGUACGUGAGUAUGUGUGGUUAUCGCAGAUGCGUUUGUGAAUUUCCUCCAGUAUGUCUUUGCCGUCUUGUCGUGAGAUGCACUUCAUGAGUACUCCGAUGAUGCGCCUCUUCUAUAAAGCUUGUCUCUGACUAGAACAUAGUUCUUGUCGUGCCGUGAGACCUGCUCUGCUUCUGCUUUGUUUGGAGGUAACUUGUGCUCUUUGAGGUAAACGAUGAAAGGAUUUCUCCAGUCUAAGUCGAUCAUCAUAACUUCCCGAUCUGGUGCGUCGUGACCUCGAUUGGUGGUUGUUGAUGGUGUCGGCUCCGUUAUGGAUGGAUUGUCUAGCUCAUGGAUGAAAACCCGUGCUGGAACUUGAGCACGAGUAGAUCCAAGCUUAGAUAGGACGUCCGCGGUAACGUUGUUGUCGCGCACUACAUGGUGGAACUCUUGAUCGGAGAACUUGUUCUCUAGCUUGCGUACUUCCAGGCAGUACGCAUCCAUAUUCUCCUUGUGGUGAUCCCACUCGUCGUUGACUUGAUUGAUUACCAACAGUGAGUCGCCGUAGACCAACAAUCAUUUGAUUCCUAGCGAGAUUGCCAGGCGAAGCCCGUGCAGAAGUGCUUCGUAUUCAGCUUCGUUGUUGGAUAGUUUCUAGAAGAUUUGUAAGACAUAUUUGAGUUGUUCGCCUUUUGGGGAUAGCAAGAUGUAACACCCGCAAAAUCACCAACUAGCCAGUCGCAGCUAAGGUGGGUAAUGGCUUUGUAAGGAUCCGCACCGGCACUAAGGUGAUCGUGCUGCGGUACCCUACUUGUGGGUAAAGUGUACAACCUCUGCAGAGUUAAAACCUAUCCGGGUAGCCGUGUCCACGGCAUUGGACGAGUUACGGCUUGGUCACAUAACUAGCACUUGGGCAUGGUUGUCGCGUGUGUGUGUGCGUGUGUGUUGGAUUUUGGAAGUGUCCGGCAGUUGUGCCGUGUGCUUUGGCGGACGGGGAGUCCGAUAGCGAUAAAACUUGGAUCCUUUGUGUAGGAUCAACCCCACUCCAUGUUUCGGUUACUAAAGAACAGCUUUUCGAAAACUCGUUUGAAAAUAAGCCCAUGCAUAUGUUAAAAAUCUAGCUUUCCCGCAAAUGGACUCUAGCCUUUCCUUGAUAUAUCCUGUGCAUAUAUUUGCUUGUAUCCCCCUCCGUGGAUAGGGUUGGACUUGUUGAGUACGUUCGUACUCACCCUUGCUUCGUUACUACAGAGGAAGACCCGGACAUCAUCGCCGAAGACCUUGAGUAGAGGUUGUGUCCGCACCCAACGCUGCCUUUGGUGUUGGCCUUUCCAAGAUGUUGCUGCUGCCGUGUAGUCCCGAGUGCUGUCUUUUGGCAGUUGCUUGGUUAGCCACCGUUGUUUAUUUACUUCUUAUCGCCGCGUGGCUCUCACGCCCACUCCCUCGGAAGUUGUACGGUAACUAAAUUAUCUGUCGAAUAAAUGUGCUAUCAGCCUCCUAGGACUGAUAUUUGUAUCACAUUUAGUCUCUACUUAUGUGGGGACGCUUUAGGUGGUAUUAGAAUCGUCGUUGGCUAUAGGACGCGACCUUAGGACCGGAUUAGACCUUUUUGACCAAAAUAAAAGGUUUACAAAAUUUCUGCCUACCUCUGCUCUAUUACAAAACUAAUUUGUGCCUCGGAUCUUUUCCGGAUGGCCGAAGAAGGAUGGGUUAACAGCCACUGCCUGGAGGAGCCAGGUUUUCCCAGAUUGCUGUUCGCCUGCAUGGACCGCCUCGGAAUUUACGAGUGUCCGGAGUACACCAGCAGGGAGUACGAGGAUCGCGGAACCCCUCGAUGUGAGAUGAUUAUCUACAUCGGGCGGAGUAGCCGCUACCCCGACAUCCAGCCUUGGAAUGUGACUGCCACCGGCUUCCGGCACAAGGAUACUUAUCAAGUGGCAUCUCGGAAGGCCCUCCAGUUCCUAUGCCAGAUCUACGAGAGGCACAUCGGCCGCACUCCGAUGAGGUUCUACCCGCCUGUCAAGAAGCCGCCCGGUAUGGCUGGCCCGUGUGAGAACUUUGGAAGGACGUGGACAGCGCAAGGACGACCCCACUGUUGAAGCAGGCUGCUCGUAGGGCGACGAGCAGGCUGCUAAGUUGAAGCAGCAGACUCGUAGGGCUGAGGACGCAGAGGUUAUGGUGAGGAGGCUUCAGGUGAAGUUAGCCGCCACCGAAGCUCGAGCCGCAGCCGCCCAAAGCAACGAGGCCAUUGCCGUUGAGGCUCUCAAGGAGGCUGAGGAUCGGCACUCCAAGGAAUUGAAGGAUGCCCACCUCACCAUUCGUGCCAGAAGGAGGAUGGUAGCCAUCGAGGACGAAGAGGUCCUGAUCCUUGAAGGAGUUCCCAUCGCCCCAGGGUCCAGUAAACGGAAGAGCCCAGAUGCCACCCCAGCGCCACCGCCUUCGGAAAGGAACUCCGAGGUGUCGGAUGGAGAGGCGCCAGAAUCCCCUCCAGCGGGCGGGACUCUAAAGGAUGAAGUGUUGGCCCUCCUCAUCCCGUUAGAAGACCACUCAGUCCAGGGAGAAGACUCACCCCGCGAGUAAUAUGCCCAGCCCAGAGUUGCCCCAGGGAAUGAAGCCGUCAUGGUCCACAGUUUAGAGUUGUACCCCCUCCAGUUGUGUUAUUGUAACCGGUCGUGUAGUACGUGUUUUGGCCUUACCCUAGAAGUGUUGUACCCCCCUGGCAAAUUAAAUAAAAUCGCUUGUGUUUGUUGCUUGUUAGUCUGUGUGUUCGUCGACAGAAGGUGGAUUCUGUCUCUUCGAAAAUACGAAAUAACCAUUUUAAAGAUCACUAAAAUCCAAAUCCUACUCUCAUAAAAUCUCACUCAAUCUGCAGAUGCCGCCCAAGUGUGCCACCAGGACUUCCCCAAGUCAGGCCCAUGCCACCCCCAGUGCUGAGAGGCAGCCAGAAAGGCAAGAACCGCCUCCGGCAGUACUUCCUGAGGAGCAGGAAGUUAGCCAGCCAGAAGGAAGGGGAGAAAGCCAAGUGGGUACGCAGCAGCCACCGCCCCUACCAGUUAUUAAUCUGGUUCAAGUGAUGAACAACUAGACCCUUCUGCUGGAAGCUCUGGCCAACGCCAUUACCCGCCAGAGGCCCCGUGGGCAGAACAUGAAUGAGAAGUUGACGGACUUCCUCCGGACUAAGCCACCCACUUUUGGCGGGUCCGUCAACCCUCUGGAUGCCGAUGAUUGGCUGCGCGUCAUCCAGAGGAAGCUGGAACCAUUUGGUUGCGAGGGCAGGGACAAAGUUCUCUUGGCUGCCCACCAGCUCACUGGGACUGCCCUAGCCUGGUGGGAGAACUACUGCUCUGCCGCCUAGGAUGCCUCCACUAUCACCUGGGAUGAGUUCGUGAUAGAAUUCCGUCGCUACCAUAUCCCCGCAGCCACCAUGAAGCGCAAGGCGGAUGAGUUCCGCGAACUCCGCCAAGGCAACAGAUCUGUGGAAGAGUACACCUUCCAGUUCAUGGAGCUAGCUCGUUAUGCUCCAAAGGAAGUGGACAAGGAUGAGAAGAAGCAGGACAUGUUAAAGAAGGGCUUGAACGCGGAACUGAGGACCCUGCUCACUCCCCAGAUCUACCCCGACUUCAACACCUUGAUGAACAUGGCCAUCUUGAAUGAGAGGGCCAAGGCAGAAGAACGGAGGGACAACAAGCGCCGGUUCCUGGAGAGCAAGACGCACCAGCAGGACCGAUUCUAGAAGCCAAGGAGCUACGGUCACCCCUUGCCCAGAUCCCAAGCUUCCAUGCAUUACCAGACCCAGUCCCAAGCACCCGGUUCGCACCAGACCGCUGCCCUGUUCAGGAGCCAGAACCCUGCCAAGGCCCCACAGAGCAGCGCCAGCCAAGUCACCGGCAACAGCAGGGCAUGCUUCAACUGCAGAGAGCCAAGGCAUUUCAUCGCCAACUGCCAUUAUGCCAACAAGCCAGCAGCAUCGGCCUUCUCCAACUCAGUAGCUGGGCCCAGGGCCGCAUUGUCAGGAGCCAACCGUGUCCCAGUCCGCAGCAACAACAACCCCAGCAACAACAACAGCCAGCAGAUGAGGCCGCCCCAGCAAUCAUUUGGACAAGCCCGCGUCAACCACAUCGGCGCGCAAGAGGCUCGUGAAGCUCAGGGCAUGGUACUCGGUGAGUUUCUAGUCAGCUCAGUCUUGGCAACAGUACUUUUUGACUCUGGAGCAUCACAUUCCUUCAUAUCCUCAAGUUUUGUGGAAGAACACCAUAUACCCAUAGUACUACUAAAGUUACCCCUAUUAACCCGGACUCCUAGAGCCGACAUUCAGUGUCGACUAGGUUGUUCCCGGGUAAGGAUUAAUUUAAGUGGGGUAAAAUUUCUAGCGGAUCUAGUGGUACUUAAGUCUAAGGGGAUAGAUGUGAUUCUUGGAAUGGACUGGUUGAGUUUGCAUGACGGUCAUAUAGGGUGUGCCGAUAAGGUAGUGCACCUGACCAAUUGGGAUGGUGUGCAAGUGACCUGUCACACUCGAGGAAGUGGCCCAGACCCCAUGGUGUUUAGCAUGGAGACCAAGAUCAUAGAAGAAGUCCCGAUAGUAAGUGAAUACCCGGAUGUCUUUCCCGAGGAACUACCUGGAAUGCCCCCGGAUAUGGACAUAGAGUUCGUAAUUGGCCUUGUCCCCGGAACCUCUCCUAUAGCCAAGAGACCCUAUAGGAUGGCAGCCUCAGAGUUAACCGAACUGAAGAAACAGUUGGGAGAAUUGCAGCAGAGUGGCUUUAUUAGGCCUAGCUCAUCCCCGUGGGGAGCCCCCGUACUUUUUGUCAAGAAUAAAGAUGAGAGUAUGAGGAUGUGCGUAGAUUAUCGCGCACUGAAUGAGGUCACCAUUAAGAACAAAUACUCCCUCCCCAGAAUAGAUGAUCUAUUCGACCAGCUGAAAGGAUCCAAGUAUUUCUCUAAGAUAGAUCUGAGGUCAGGGUACCAUCAACUCAAGAUCAAGGAGAGCGACAUCCCGAAGACGGCCUUUGUCACCCGUUAUGGUCAAUUUGAGUUUACAGUGAUGUCUUUUGGAUUGACCAAUGCACCUUCUUAUUUCAUGAACCUCAUGAACAAGGUGUUUAUGGACGAGUUACAUAAGUUUGUCGUAGUCUUUAUUGACGACAUACUUAUUUACUCCAAGAGUGUUCAGGAGCAUGAACACCAUAUACGGGUGGUGUUAGAAAAAUUGAGAGCCCGCCAACUCUAUGCUAAAUUCAGCAAGUGUGAAUUUUGGCUUGAGAAAGUGGCAUUCCUUGGUCAUAUCCUGACCGCGGAAGGAGUCGCAGUUGAUCCUGAGAAAGUUGAAGCCAUCUCCAACUUGCAGCAACCCACCAAUGUUAGUGAAAUCAGGAGUUUUCUUGGUUUAGCUGGGUAUUACCGGAGAUUUAUUAAGGGAUUUUCCAAGAUAGCCCGGCCCAUGACAGAGCUGCUUAGGAAGGAUAAGAAGUUCACCUGGACCGAGUCAUGUGAGCGGAGCUUCCAAGAGCUGAAGAACAGGUUGACGACAGCCCCAGUAUUAACCUUACCUGAUAUCCAGCGAGACUUCGUCAUCUACUGUGAUGCAUCCCGACAAGGAUUAGGAUGUGUCCUCAUGCAGGAUGGGAAGGUUGUGGCAUAUGCUUCCCGUCAACUUAAGCCCCAUGAGCAGAACUACCCAACCCAUGACUUAGAGUUUGCAGCCGUAGGGCAUGCCCUCAAGAUCUGGAGACAUUAUCUGAUUGGGAAUAAGUGUGAAAUAUACACCGACCAUAAGAGACUAAAAUACAUUUUCACCCAGCCCGAUCUGAAUUUAAGGCAAAGGAGGUGGUUAGAACUUGUAAAGGACUACAACCUAGAAAUCCACUACCACCCCGGCAAAGCUAAUGUUGUGGCCGACGCCUUAAGCCGGAAAUCCUAUGGACCGCCCGGACCCGAGAAUGCCCGCCGACAAGAGGAAAUAGCCCGGUUAAAUGUGCACAUAGUUCCCCAGAAUGCUAGCCGCAAGCUAAGUGUUCAGCCCACCUUGGAGGAUAAAAUCCGAGAAGCCCAGGGUUCAGAUAAGGACUUAGUAAAAAUCCGCAAGCAGACCGGAGAAAAUAAAUCCCCGGAUUUCAGGGUGGACGACAAAGGAACCCUGUGGUACAAGGAAAGAAUUUGUGUCCCCAAGGAUGAAGAGUUCAGGCAGACCAUCAUGAAUGAAGCCCAUAACUCGGCAUACUCCAUCCACCCCGAAUCCACCAAGAUGUACAUGGACUUAAAGAAGAAAUACUGGUGGAAUGGAAUGAAGGCUGACAUAGCUCAGUUUGUCGCCCAUUGUAAUAUUUGCCAAAGGGUCAAGGCUGAGCACCAGAAGCCAGCCGGCUUGCUGCAACAAUUGCCUAUCCCGAUUUGGAAGUGGGAUGAGAUCGGCAUGGAUUUUGUAGUAGGCCUGCCCAGAACUCAAAAGGGAAAUGACUCCAUAUGGGUAAUAGUGGACCAACUCACUAAAGUCGCUCACUACCUACCCGUACGGACCACUUACGGUGGAGAACGACUAGCCCGACUCUACAUCGACAACAUAGUGAAGCUGCAUGGUGUGCCCAGCCGGAUCAUCUCAGAUAGAGGAACUCAGCUCACCUCUAGGUUUUGGAGAAGUUUGCAUAAAGCCAUGGGUACCAAAUUGGACUUUUGUUCAGCCUAUCACCCCCAGACCGAUGGCCAAACCGAGCGAGUCAACCAAAUCAUGGAAGACAUGCUGAGAGCGUGUGUCCUCACCUAUGGCAAAGAUUGGGAACAAAGUUUAACCUAUGCAGAGUUCUCAUACAACAAUAGCUACCAAGCCAGUCUAGGCAUGUCACCAUUUGAGGCCCUUUAUGGUAGAAAGUGCCGGACCCCUUUGAUGUGGUCAGAAGUAGGAGAACGCUCCCUAGUCGGACCAACUUUCAUCAAGGAAGCAGAAGAUCGUGUGGCAGAAAUCCGAGAAAAGCUGAAGGCCGCACAAUCCAGCCAGAAAAGCUACUCGGACAAGAGGAGACGGGAAUUAUGCUUCAAUGAGGGAGAUUUUGUCUACCUCAAGGUCUCCCCAAUUCGGGGUACCAGAAGGUUUCAGGUACAAGAAAAACUGGCACCUCGGUAUAUUGGACCUUACAAGGUGUUAAAAAGAGUUGGAGCCGUAGCUUACCGUAUCCAACUGCCUGAGGAAAUGUCGGAUAUACACCCGAUAUUUCAUGUCUCCCAGCUGAGAAAAUGUUUGAGAGUACCGGAGGAACAAGUACGGGUGGAGACAAUAGACCUACAAAAGGACCUUCGGUAUCAAGAAGUGCCUGUCAAGAUUUUGGACACCAUCACCAGAAGGACAAGAAAUACAGCAGUCCGGAUUUGCAGAGUACAAUGGAGUAGACAUGGUGAAGAAGAGGCCACGUGGGAACACGAGGACGCGUUAAAGAAGGAAUUUCCCCACCUUUUCAGGACUCAGUCGAAUCUCGAGGAUGAGAUUCAAUUUAAGUGGGGUAGGUUUGUAACACCCGCAAAAUCACCAACUAAAAUCACCCGUUAAAAAUUGCUUUUAAAAUCUUUUACCGCAGAGCUCCCGGAAAUCUAAAAUCUUCCCGACGAUUUCGCCGUCCCGGCACCUAAGCCGAGAGCCAUCAUCUUUACCCGUGCCCGUAUUUUCCGCAGCGUGCCGUCGUCAGACGCCGCGCGCGUGCUCCGACCGCGUGUCGCGAACGCCGCCGGUCUCUCUCUUUUUCUUUCUCUUUUUCCCCUCCCUUUUCCUUUUUUUUCUUUUUCCUUUCUUCCUCCUUCUUCUUUCUUCUUCCUCCUUCCUUCUUCUCUCUCCUCCUCUUUCUUCUUCCUAGCGCCCACACAACCGGCCCCAGCUCCUUAACUCCCCCCGGAGCCACCUCUACUGGCGCCACGCCGCUCGGCCUCCGCGCGCUUGGGGCCCGCCGCCCGGCCCGGUGCCGACCACGCCGCCCCCUCCCUCGGGCCGCGCGCCCGACGCGGCCCUCGAUCGCCUGCACCGCCGCUCCGGCGUCCGGUCGCCUCGGCCCCACGCGCGCCCCUCCUACGCCGUCCCGCGUCAGGCCCCGCCACCGGCCCCGCUCCGCGCCGCCCCGCCGGCCCCUACCUCCCCUCCGGCGCCGCCGCACGCCACCGGUACCGUGCCGACCGAGCCAUCCCGCCGGCCACCGCCCAGUCCCCUACCGCCGGCCACCAUUGCCGGCUUAUAAAAGGGGGUCACCGCCCGGCUCCUCUCCCCACCCAUCCACACGCCGCCCUGCUCCUUCCCUCGCCAAGCACCGCCGCCGCCCGUGCGCCGCUCCUCCCGUGCGCCGCCGCCACCCGAGCCAUCGCCGGCCGCCCCAUUCCCAUCUCCACUCCCCAAGGUAAGGGGGAAAAUGGAGCCCCAUCCCCUUCCUCCACCUCCUCCGCCCACGGCAGCCGCCGGUAAGGCCGGCCGGCCAGCCGCCGUCGCCCCCCACUCCUCCCCAAUCUCCAAGCCGGCCCAAGAAAGAAGAAGGGGACAGAUUCCCCAAACUUCCGAUCUAACCCCCUCUUUCUUCCUAUUCGCAAACGAGUCCCUCCACCACUCUCGAGAGAUUCUCGCAGAUUAGCCCCUCUACUCCUGAAAAUAUUUACAAAUAGGUCCCUGGUUCCUCGCAAAUCAGUCCUAAACCUCCUUUUUAAGCCCCUAAUCCAUGCUUAACUCGUCAUUUCAUGCGUCAAACUUCCCCCAAUUAAUCCCAAAUUCGAUCCAUAUCCAAAUUACCCAAAAAUAACCUUUCUACCUAUUUUUCGUUCACGUUUUCUGUUCGGAGCUCACGGUUAAAAACCGCUUUCCUUUUAUUUAUUUGUGUGUCCGUUUGUGUGUUCCGUAGAUCACGGUUUACCCGAGGAGGAGCCCGAGGAGGAGUUUGACCGAGAGCCCGAGCCCGAGGACCAGCAUCACGAGCCGGAACUCCCGGAAGGCUUUGAAGACGGCAAGUUCAAUCUCAACCUUUGAUGCAUACUUAAUACCCUAGUUUUUCAAACACAACCUAUUGGCCUAUUUUAUAAAAUGCAUAUAAUUUAUUUUAUUGCAAGACAUGGUUGGAUAGCCACCCCUUGAUUGUUAUGAACAUUCUUUGUUAUCCUAUGGUUGUCUCUAAAUAUGACCCGCUCUAUUUAGUCGAUAACCACCGCUAGAAUGCUUAGGAAAUUGCUACUCGACUACAAUCAUUAUUACAAUGGUUUACUUGGAAAAUAAGUGUGUGUGUGUGUGUUCAAUUGGGAAGAUGGUUUUCCGGGUUCGACGGAAAGGGGUGUGUAGACGAGAUGGAUGGGUGUUUCUUGUGUGAAAUGACAGGAUGUUGUGCUCGUACCUUGGUGGUUGAGCGAUGUCGGGAGAUAUCCAUCUUGUCAUCGUUAAGGACCGAGUUGAUGUGUCAUCUUGCCUAAUUCCACCAUCGUGCAACCACUCGACCGUUGUACGGGCAACGGCUUAGCAUAAAGCCCACUAGCUAAACUAUUAGUCCUCAGGGGUGCUGGUGAGCAACGGAGCCCAUGGAAAGGGAGUAAGAUCUUGGUGACUUAGGUCCCGGUUACAGUCUCGGUGAUGAGCCGUGAACCCCUUGGGGUGCUUCCGUGAGGACUAGCCAGUCGCAACUAAGGUGGGUAAUGGCUUUGUAAGGAUCCGCACCAGCACUAAGGUGAUCGUGCUGCGGUACCCUACUUGUGGGUAAAGUGUACAACCUUUGCAGAGUUAAAACCUAUCCGGGUAGCCGUGUCCAUGGCAUUGGACGAGUUAUGGCUUGGUCACAUAACUAGCACUUGGGCAUGGUUGUCGCGUGUGUGUGUGCGUGUGUGUUGGAUUUUGGAAGUGUCCGGCAGUUGUGCCGUGUGCUAUGGCGGACGAGGAGUCCAAUAGCGAUAAAACUUGGAUCCUUUGUGUAGGAUCAACCCCACUCCAUGUUUCGGUUACUAAAGAACAGCUUUUCGAAAACUCGUUUGAAAAUAAGCCCAUGCAUGUGUUAAAAAUCUAGCUUUCCCGCAAAUGGACUCUAGCCUUUCCUUGAUAUAUCCUAUGCAUAUAUUUGCUUGUAUCCCCCUCCGUGGAUGGGGUUGGACUUGUUGAGUACGUUCGUACUCACCCUUGCUUCAUUACUACAGAGGAAGACCUGGACUUCAUCGCCGAAGACCUUGAGUAGAGGUUGUGUCCGCACCCAACGCUGCCUGUGGUGUUGGUCUUUCCAAGAUGCUGCUGCUGCCGUGUAGUCCCGAGUGCUAUCUUUUGGCAGUCGCUUGGUUAGCCGCCGUUGUUUAUUUACUUCUUAUCGCUGCGUGGCUCUCACGCCCACUCCCUCGGGAGUUGUACGGUAACUGAAUUAUCUGUCGAAUAAAUGUGUUAUCAGCCUCCUGGGACUGAUAUUUGUAUCACAUUUAGUCUCUACUUAUGUGAGGACGCUUCACAAGAGUACUCCUGCGCCGACGCCCUCGAGCUUGAGUGAUCCAUCAAAAUACAUAACCCAAUGCUCUGGACGCUUUGCUGGCAUUGAUAGUUGGUUUCCCGCCCAUUCUACCAUGAAAUCGACUAGUGACUGGGACUUGAUCGCAGUCCUUGACUUCAAUUCCCGAGACAAUGCUCCGAGUAUGGAUGGCAACGGGCACAUAACCCACGGGCAGAGGUAUUACAGACCUGCACCCGCGAGGCAAACCCUGUACCCGUGCCCGCACCCGCCGCCCGUCAUGGGCAAAAAGUUGUGCUCGCGCCCGUCACCCACAGGCACAGUCUACCCGCGGGCACACCCGUGCCCGCUAGGCAACCAGCAACCAGAGCCCGCAAGGCGACCGCGAUGGCGCGGAAGGUCGGAUCGGGAGCUCGGGCGCGUGGUGGAACCGAACGGUUGGAUUUGGGGAACAACAGCAGCAGUAGGCUAAGGGGAAGGCGUAGCGGGCGGUGGAGAGGUAACGGCGGGGAGGUGGACGGGCAGAGAGGUGGCGGCGGGGAGCGAGGGCAGGUGGCGACCGACGGCAAGCGAGGGUGGGCGGUGUGGAUCAAGGGCGGGCGACGACAGAUGCGAGGUGAUGGCGGAGGUCGACGGUGGCGCGGAUGAGGAGGGGAUGGAGGUUGACUGUGCGGGCUGUGGGAGGGGCGGCCAGCAACGAGCGCGGAGGACGCGGUGGUGAGGCCGGCCGGCGGCAAGCGCAAGGGUGUGGCGUGGAGGCCACCAGCGGUCGGUGCCAGGGGAGCGGCCUCGUCGGGCAGGAGCCUGCGAUGGUGCGAUGGGAGGACAGAAGGAGACCGUAUAAGGUGGAGGAGAUAAUGUUGGAAAGUGAUGAAAAAUUCUAUUAAUAAAAACAAGUCCACAUGUCAGACGGGUUCGGGGGUUUGCGGGCACGGAUAAGAUAUUUUUAUGCCCGCUAAUUUUUUACCCGUGGGCACAAACUCAAACGCGCAGCCGUGCCCGUGGGCAUAAAAUAGAACCCAUAUCCUCACCCUACCAGGAUUUUACCCGCGAACACAUGAGUAAUUUGUACCCAUUGCCAUCCAUAGCUUCGAUUUCUACUGCCCACUUAGAUAUUGCUUCCGUUGCAUCCCGGUUGUGGAGAAUUUCCCUCAGUGGGAAGUCUGUGAUGACGGAGAUGUUGUGCUCUUGGAAGUAGUGUCGUAGCUUCCGCGACAUGAGUAGUAUUGCGUAUAGCAAUUUCUGCACUAGUGGGUAUCUGGCUUUGGAGUCUGACAACACCUCGCUGACGAAGUAGACGAUACUCUGUACUAUGUAUACAUGGCCUGGUUCUGAUCUUUCAACCACGAUCAUUGUGCUGACGACGUUACUAGUCGCAGGGAUGUAAAGCAGCAAGUCCUCAUUGGGGUUUGGCGCAGUGAGGACCAGUGACUUUGAUAGGAAGUCUUUUAAUUGUUGCAGGGCUUGAUCUGCCUCAUCGGUCCACUGAAAUUUGUCUUACCGCUUCAGUAGUUUGAAGAAGGGUAGGCCCCAUUCUCCAAGUCUUGAAAUGAAUCUGGUGAGGGCCUCCAUGCAUCCCGUUAGCUUUUAGACGUCCUUGAUGCAUGAUGGGGCAUGCAUGUCGGUGAUGGCAGAGAUCUUCUUGGGGUUAGCUUCAAUUCGUUGGUGACUAAUGAUGAACUCGAAUAGUUUUCCGGAGGGUACGCCAAAGACGCACUUUGUUGGAAUUGAGCUUCCAUCAGAAUUCAUGUAAGCUUGCGAAAUUUUCUACCAAAUCCGCAAUUAGGUCAUCAGGAUUUAUGUUCUUUACAACCACGUCGUCCACGUACGCCUCUACAUUACGGUGUAGCUAUUUCUUGAAGCACUCUUGGAUUGCACAUUGAUAGGUAGCGCCUGCGUUCUUUAACACAAAGAACAUUGUUGUGUAGCAGAAAGCUCCGUUUGGGGUGAUGAACGCAAUUUUGAUUUGGUCUUCUUCCUUGAGAUCUAUAUGGUGAUACCCCGAGUAGCAAUCGAGAAAACAGAGUAGGGCGCAUCCAGCUGUCAAGUCGAUAACUUGAUCAAUCCUGGGGAGCCUAAAGGGAUCCCAACACAUCCUCCACUCGUUGUUAUUUUUCUUUCACACCAGGAUAGAAUUAGCGAGCCACUCUAGGAUCUUGAGCCUUGAGCUAGCGAUAACUAGGUCAAGGAUGACAGCAUAUCGUCCUGGGUCUGAGAAACUAGUCCAUCGGUCCUUCCUAGAGAAGGUAAUUGGUACCUCGGACCAUUUGAGGAACGUUGGUGUUGCAGGUUCAAUGGACAUGAUCUCUCGAAGGGCGAGCUUCUAGGACCGCUUAGUAGCAGUACAUGGUGUGCCGCCAAAGAUGACGUUGAUGUUGGAUGGUUUCUGGAAUUUGCUGUUGUCACCAUCGUCUUCGUCUUCCUUAGCCUUGACCUUGUCUUUAGUGCCAAAUGGUUCCGGCAGGUCCUUUAUGACUCUACGUAGGCUAAAGCAAUCUAUCGUAGAGUGCUUGUGGUAUAGGUGGUAUGGGCACUGCUUCUUCAGAAGUUCACUAAAUGGGAUCCUAUCUUGAUUCCUGCCGCCACCUUUCUUGGAUGACUGUGACAUUGCCGUGAUAAUAUUGUCUGGCUUUUGCUUGCGGUUCUGACCACCUAAGUAAUUAUUUCGGUUGUCAAUGUUAGGGUGAUCGUUGCGGUUCUUAUCAUUGCGUUGGCCAUUGUUCUAAUUAUUAUUGUUCUGGCUCUUGUUGUGAUUAGAUUUGAAUGUCUUGAUCUCCAUAUCUUCUUCAUCUGCCCACGUCUGUACCAUGAUUUUGAGAGACCUGACAUCAGCGGGGCAUCUUCUGCCGAAGUCCUGGAACAUCCGGCUGUCGUACAGGCCAUUCUGGAAGCAGUCUAUAACGUCACGCUCCGUGAUGUCCAUGAUUGUAGAUUUUUGUCGAAGAAGCAACGUAAGUAACUUCGCAGGGUCUCGCCUUCUUGUUGUUUAACUUAAGACAAGUCGAUUCUGUUGUCAGGACGCUGCAUUGCCCCUGCAUAGUUGUUGGUGAACGCCACCUUGAGGUCCUUCCAUGAAUCGAUGGAGUUUUUAUCCAAUGAUUCGAGUCAUGUGAGUGGUGCCGCCUCCAUGCAGAUGGGGAAGUAGAUGACCUUGGUGUCUUCGUUCCCCCCUGCUGCUUGGACUGAUAGCGAGUAGCACCGCAGCCAUUGCACUGGGUCCUACUUUUCAUCAUAUUUGAUGAUACCCGGAGGUUUGAAGUUUUUGGGUAGACUUGUCCUCCUCACGUGUCUUGAGCAGGCGGGGAACACGUCAGAAUCGUCUCCUGAGUACUCGACUUCUCGCUCGCGCUCGCGGCACUGUCCGUCGAUGAUGGUACGGGCAUCAUGGCCGACGUUGAUCUUGUUUCGAAGAUCUUCUACUAGAUGUUCAAGCUCAAGGUUGGGCCCACGGUCACCACGGCCUUCCGAGGGUUCUGCCCGACUACCCUCUUCUCCAGCUUGGCUUGGUCUGGCGUCUCCAAUUUGGUCUGGUCUAAACGGAGCGUCUCUAUGGCUGGUGCCAUGUUGACUACACUGGAAUGGGGAACGUUGAACUGACUGUAUCGGGUUUUGCUGAUUGAUUUGUUCGUACACGCGCUCUGCCAGUUCAGCCAACUGUCGAGUGUACUUGUCCUGCGGCAUUGCGCGGGUGAUGAGAUCCAUGGAUGCGAUGGUAGCAAGAGGAGUACGAUGCUGACGCGAUUGAACUGCUUCGAACGCGUUAUCCAGGUUCAUGAUUGGUAGGUUUGCUGCAAGACGGUGGCGACGCUAUGCUCUUGUAGUGUUUUUGCUCGUCGUCAAGUUCUUUGAGCUUCAGUCACUUCUCCAUCAACGUGGUAGUAAGUUCAUCCUACAAGACAUCAUCCGGGUGACGUUCAUGCUGUGGAAUUCUGUUCGAUUGCUCUUCUUCUUUGCCGCCCUCUUGUCCAGCAAUGAGAGCAAAGAGUUCUCAUUCUGGAGAGUAGCUUCCCGAGUUUGAAGUUAUGACCUUUGUGGUGCCGCCUUCCUCGUGGAUGGGCGAUAGAGGAGCUCCUGGUACGGGAGGGUGUCGAGGUAGGUAAUAAGGCAUGAAUCAUCGUCCUUGGUGAGAGCAGGUGGCUUCAUGUUGGGCUAGUAGACGAAUCUACCUUGGGGAGUCAAUGUGAUCACCAGGCCCUUCUGCGGAUCAGAUAAAGGAGUCUCUUCGUUCGGGUCUGAGCAAUAGUCGAGAUCCUCGAUCGUAUCCAUAUCGGAUUGUGAUCUGGACAAGACUGCCUGAUAAGCAGUGGUCACAUUGCGGAGUCCGAACGGGAAUCAACUCGGGUUGUAGUCUGAUUUGCAUGAUGGCGUAUGCGCUCGCUCGUGAAAGUCAAUCCCACUGGCGGGACAAGUCAAGUUGUACUCGGACUCGUCCCCCAGCCUUUGACUAAGUCAGAAAUUGAAAAUUCGUCAAAAUUUUUGACGAGAUUCUCCAGAGUUUGACGCUGAGUUUGAAGGUUUGCUGCUUCUUCUCCGGAGUUGUCGCCUAUGCGGCGGCAAAAAUUUCCAGUGCCGUCCGCGACGCAAACUCAAGAGCCGAAGAUGAACGUCGCGCCUACUUCAAAUACGAUGAUUGGCUUGAUAAUAACUUAUGCCAUUGAGUUCGCAAGUCGAUUCUCGGCGAGAGCCCCUAAGUGGCGCGUCAGCUGUCGAUGUUUAGACCCGGCAACCUAUCGACGGGAUGCCUAAGGUAGUGUUUGGUUUGUGAAGCCUGCCGAGAUCAGGAACUCAAAUGUGAACAUAGACACACAAUUCAGAUAAGUUCGGGCUGCUAGAUUGCGUAAUACUCUACGUCCUGUGUGUUAGUUGGAUUGUGUUGGUUGGAUUGAAUUGCUUCGGAGGGGGUCCCUACCUCUCUUUAUAUUGCUUGGGUAGGGUUACAGAUCGGUUAUUUUACGAGAAUAUUUUACGAGAAUACUAGGUAAGUCCUACUCUGAAUACUACGAGUAGUUUUCCUCCUCAUCCUCGAUUAGUUCCCGUCUUGCCACGUAGACUACACCGUCCUGCGACAUAGUCUCCAUGUCAGAUACGUCUCGGUGUCCAUUUCUGUACGUAAGACUGUCCAAACCUUCAUGUGAGCCCAUACAUGUAUAUACGAUGGCCCUAAAUCACCAUAUUAGACUACAUCACCAUAUUAGACACGAACACAGAAAAGAAAAAUUGCUGCCCUGCAGCAUGCCAAAAUAGUUGACAAAACAAGAAACGAAUAUAAUCCAACAAAAUAUCUUGUGCAACAUCUUGAUUUGUCGGAUUUAACAUAUCUGAUCUCCUUUUUGCGACACUUGAAAAACACCAAUCGGGACAUCCUAAAUUAAUACAGCAACAUCGGGAAAUAUCAAUCACAAAGUGACAUCCCAAAAUCACCUUUGCAGCUUUACCAUCCGGCUCCUUGCCACCUAAAUCAAUCGUUGUCGCUGGGAUAGAUCUUCUACCUGCCAGAAGUGAUGAUAGGCAAUUGACAUCGAGCUCUUUGUUGCCUUACUGAAGGGAUCGAGCUCUUCUUCGUUGUGCCACAAAGGAUCGAACUUCCCAUCACCUAGAUCGACACCUUGCUGCUGGACAACUUGAAUCGGCACUCCAAUCAAGUCACUCGAACCACCGCCAUCUGAGGCUGCGGACAUGAGCACGAGUGUGCGAGGCCCUCACUGUGCCGCCAAGUUACUGGAUGAAUCACCAGCGGAGCCUCCGCGCGAGGAUGCCGAGGCUUCGUGGAGAUGAAGGAGCUGGAUGAAUAGAUAAGGUUUGGAGUAAAAGGAUAAGAAGCUGUGGUAAAAUAAAGGGAGGGUGUUAUUUGGUGGGAGGCUGGCUGACCCGCACGUGACGCGCGUCCCGUGAUAUUUCCACGACGCGUUGGAUGGUAGGUAGUAGCAUUACCGUUUCUUUUAACAAGCAAGCGUGUCCUUAUUAUCUUGCUUUUCUUUUUCCCUGGAUAGAAAUUAUAUUAAAGGACUGUCUAUCUGUUGCAUAUUUGUGCUAGCCAAAUCUGUUGAAAUUUUGACAAAUCAGCAGCUGGCUCGUAAGCACCAAAAAGUAAACAGAUUUCAAUGACAAACAUAUGUCAGGUUUUACUAAUAGGCUUUUGAACAAACAGGUACUGCAAUAUCCAAAUCUGAUAAUAAAGAACAAUUGGCGCCAACUUGAAACAUUCAUUAUCCUUUUAAUUGUUCCGAUAGCAAAAUUUGAAAGCAAGAACACAUAUUUGAGUUCAAAGGAACACAGUUUACAUUGAUAAAUACAUUAUAACAAGCAUAAAUGAUAACUGUAAGAAAAAAAUUAAACACAAGCAUUGGGACAUAAUUUACAUUGAUAAAAACACUACGCUAAACACAAAUGAUAAAUGUAAAUUGACGGGCGUGGACGCAGCUUCGCCUCAAGCGCAGCCAUGUGCGGCAAAGCAAAGAAUUAAGAUCUCUAUAAGGGGCACCAAGCUGUCUGGAUCUAGAAAAGAACACAAACUGGUGCAUUGUAGAGGGGUAUAGAUAUAGAUACACUUUGAGCAUAACAACCCUCUUAGAGCAUCACAACAAUGCCAUAUCAGCUCUCUAUAUUAGUUUCACGUAACUUUUAUCCGACAUGGAAGAGAAAGAAACAAGGAGAAAAGGUUGUCGAUGUAUUACCGCUAAUAUCUUGCUUAUAAUUUCAUAUCAGUGGACGGCUGCUCAUGACCCAUCUGCCGAGAUAAACUAACACUAGUGGAUCGGUUUUUGAAUUUCCCAAGGAUAAAGAUACGAUCGAAUAUGCAUCUCGUUGACAUGUGAGAUGGGCAAAAAAUCUGCAAACUCGAGGAGCACGAGCAGAGCUUCGUAAGCAACAGCGCAAAACUGACGGACGGGAGUCGGCCAGUAUCUUGCUGGCACAGUAGCCGAGCCAGGGAGCUCGGGAGAUCCGGGGCUGGAAUAGGAUCCAGCGACUCCAAGGGCCCAGGCUCCGCGCUGUACCCUUGCGGCCUUGCCGGCUAUCUGCCGCGAGCCACCGCCAGGUUCUCUCUCCAACGCCGCCGAUACCCACACGCCCCCGGCCACCGCCAUCGGAAUCCUGAAAUCCCACACGAUGACAGAGCUCUAAGGGCCGUUCACAGGCCGCUGUGCAAAUGGCCCUUAUUGGGUUUUUUCGUCCUCAAUUAUGGGCCUCUCUAGUUGCGGCCUCAUAAUAUCUCUCGUUACAGACGAGCCCACGUCCGAUGGGUCAUUCCAUUUCCAUGGCCUUCACGAGCUACUAGGAAGGGAGGCGCGCCCGCUCCUGGGAGGCGCACCGUUACGCUGUAUUAACCCUGUGGCAUGAGGACCGUACACUGCUUCGUUGGUGCAUUUGUUUGCCACGAUGUUAUAUGAAUUUCACCACCCAGAAAUGUUCAACGUGUGACAAUAAUGCUGGGUACUUAGCAAGUUGGAAACAGUGGUUGACAAUCGACAUCAAUACAGCCAUUCAAUACAGGUAGUGUUGUAGCAAAGGUCACGCAGAUCUUAGGCUCCCUUUGGUUGAGCUUUCCAACCUGCUUUUGCUUUUGCAAAAGUCAAAAGCCAACCAAAGGGUUCCAAAACCAUUGAUGCUUUUGCUCAAAAGCAGCUUUUAUAGUAGUACAAAUCCAAAAGCACCUCUCCCCCUACUUUCAAGUACUCACCUGCCACUGGUUAUGAUGUACCCUUUCAGAUUUAUUUUUCUCCCGCACGCGAAAACAACUAGACCUCUCCUCUCCCCCGUUCACCCGCACAGCGCCAUCUCGCCACCCGUCGCCCGCCAACCUUGGCCGCCGGCCGGCCACCGUCCGCCUCCCCUGGCCGUCGGCCGGCCACCGUCCGCCUCCCCUGGCCGCCGGGCCUCGCGCCGCUGCCCCCUAAUGGCCGUCUGCCACCCCCAUCGUCUGGCCCCCGCUGCCGGCCCCGUGACGCCCGCCGCCGUCCCCCAUCGCCGGGCCGCCGUCGCCAGGCCAUCUGACGGCCGCCUCCUCCUCCUGACGCCCGCUGUCGGGCCCCCAUCGCCGCCCCUCGACGCCCGCUGCCUCCCCUGGCCGCCGGGGCUCCAUCGCCGCCCCCCGACGCCCGCCGCCCGCCGCCGGGCCCGCGUCGCCCCCCUAAGCACCCGCCGCCCCCUUGAACAGGAGGGCGCCCCCAUCACCGGCUCCUGCCCCUGCUCCUGGUGACUGACCAGAGCAUAUACACCCAAGGUAUGUAUCAACUAAUUUUUUUAUAAUUUAUAACAUUUGUUUCGUAUAAAUUAUUUACACUAAUUCAAUUAUUUUAUGUUGUCAGGUACAAUUACAACACAAAAUCAAAUAGGAAGCUACCUGUGAAAAGGAAUUUCUUGAGGUAUGAACAAUCAAUUGUACUAGCCUCUUACUGUUUCUUUUCUGAGAUAAAUCUCAUUUGUUGUUGCUGGCAUCCUCAGUUGUUUUGUCAGAAGUUGAGAGGGGAACUUUUUAUAUGUAUUGUAUUAGUAUUUGACUUACCUAUCAACAUCCACUAUAGCCUGCUUAUGAGAUAAAGCACUUCUCUACUAUCAGUAUGGUUAAAUGCAAAAUGAUAAUUCAAAACUAUAUAAUGGAUGAACAUUUGUACUUUGACAUCUAUGAUUAUUUAUUUCCCAUUAGUUUAAUAGCUGGAUAGUUGGCUUCAUAGUUAUGUCUUAGCUUAGUUCUUAUGAGUUUUCUUUGAUUGGUUGAACUUCAUAAUUUGCUAGUCUCUACUAACGGAUUAACCUCAACCAACAAUGUUUCGUCUAUUGAGUCAUUGGCAAUAUUCUUGUGGAUCGUCGGAGGACCACAAUCUUUUUUACAAGCUGGAAAUCGUUUCACACGGGACAGUUCACAUGAAGUUUCACGAAGUGUUGAAAUGUUUGCGCAAGUUAGCUAAGGACAAUAUUAAGCCGAGAGAUCUUACUUUUUCUACGGAGCAUGAAAGGGUGAGAGAGGACCAUUUUUGGCCAUACUUUAAAGGCGCAAUUGGAGCAAUAGAUGUUUCACAUGUCAAAGUGGUAGUACCAGUGGACGAAGUGGUUCACUACACAUGCCGUCAUGGAUAUACAUCUCAAAAUGUGCUAGCUAUUUGUGACUUUGAUAUGAGGUUCACCUUUGCGGUUGCCGGGUGGCCGGGUUCUGCACAUGACACACGUAUCCUCAAUCAUGCAUUGGCAAAUUUUCCUUCAUUUCCCAUGCCUCCUAAAGGUAUACAUGGUUCUUUCAACAAAUUAGCAAUAUUUGUAUUAUUAUGUACCUUACUGACUUGAUUUUGUAGGAAAGUAUUAUCUCGUGGACUUAGGUUACCCAAACCGAAUUGGGUAUCUUGCGCCUUUCAAAGGAAGCACAUACCAUAUACCAGAAUUUCAGCAUCGUUCGGGACCUCCUCAAGGAAAGUACAAGAUGUUCAAUUUUUUGCAUUCAUCUCUUCGUAAUGUCAUUGAAAGGUCUUUUGGAGUCUUAAAGCAGAAGUGGCGUAUUUUGAAGGAUAUGCCAAGUUUCUCACCUCGUACUCAGAAACAUAUCAUUAUGGCUUAUCUUGCAUUGCAUAAUUUUAUUCGUGAUAGCAAUUUGUGUGAUAAGGAGUUUAAGAGAUGUGAUGAUGAUGAGGAUUACUUGGUACAGCAUACAUGUGGUAUGAGAUAAACACAAGGAGAUGAUAGUGACGACGUGGAGAAUGAGGAUACCAUGAAUACCAUUCGCACUAGGAUAGCUGAUGCUUUGGUUAGUGCGAGAGGAGGAGAGUAAUGUUGAGGAAUGGCAUCCUUGUAUAGAACUUUUUGAUGGAUAUAGUUCUAUUUAUGUGGACCAAUUACUUUAAUGGAUGAAAAAUAUAUAAAAUUUAUUUUUUUUCUUCCUAAAAUAGUGGUUUACAUUUGAACUAGUGAACGCAUUAUUUUAUUACGAGCAAUUUGCAUAUAAACACACUCACAGAUCUUUAGGGGCAUUACAGGUAUUUCUUACACAGCCUACAGUUUCAUAGCUCCUCUAACCAAACGGUCUUCUGCUUUUCCCACAGCUGCUUUUCCACAGCCCACAGCUCACAGCAGCUUUUCCAAAAAUCACAGCCUAACCAAACGCACCCUUAGCUGUGCGUGUUGUGGUAUGCUUACCACAGCACGUAUUAACAUGAGGUGAAAGAAUAAAAGCAAUGGAAUACCCUUACUAUCAGUGACAUCAUUCAUUGUUCUACAACUCUUUGUAGAACAGUCUGCCUUGAAAUUUACUUGUAAGUCCGUACCUGCAAAAGAGCAAACAAUAUAUGUCUUCACGCAGAAUACACAAGGGAUAAGUUACAUAUAGCUAACAAAAACUGAAUAUAUAGGUUCUAUUAAUGUCGAAAGGAACCGAGCAAUAGGGCAUAUUUGCUAAACUACUGCAGACUUUCGAAAAAGAAAUGGUGUAAGUUUGUUCUGGUCCUUAAAAUAUUAGAAAUCAGAAUCUCCAAGGUUGGCAUGUUCAUAAAAAGGAAAAGAGUCAGUGUCCAAAAUCCUCAUUUGUGGCGAUAACUUAUUUUCAGGGAGCAUGUACUCUUAAGAAACAUCUGGCGGUCAUUCAGGAUGCUUGAGUUAUUAUUUGCAGUAUCAACUAAAAUUAGUGUAAAAGAAUACUUUGACACAAAAGAAUCUUGAUUUAAGCAUCACAAUAUUACCCUGCAACACAUCUCGUCUCAUCUGUCUGACUGGAUUAUCUGAAAACACAAUAUUAUUAUCCUGCAACAGAGGUCACCAAUUUGAUUGGAUCAUCUCAAAAUUGAUACAAACAUGGUGAGCUAAACAAAUAAACAUACGACUAAAAAGGAAUAUAUAUGAAGAGAGUUUUAUGGAAUACUGAAUCUAAAAGGAGUUGAAUAAAAUAAUGAGUUCAUCUUUACUUUCGCAAAAAAAAAACAAUGAGUUCAUCUUUCAGGGAAAAAGAAAGAACAGAUGUGUUCAGCUGUAGAGAACUCAGAGCUCACCAAAAGAACUUGCUGGAUUAAUAUGUCUAUUGAGGCUCAAGGGUACUAAUCAGUCUGAAAUGAAAGCAAGUUAUAAGACAUAUAACGUACCUGUGCAUCCUGUAAGUGGGAUGCAGAGAGUAGAAAUGGAGCUAGUUAGAAUAAGUGUGAAGUCAAUGGAGGUAGCCUAUGUUGCUUCAUUUACAAUAUAAUUUUUUUGGUCAAAGCUGAACACCUGUGCCAUAUACGCUAUUUACUAUCAGCUCAAAUUAGGAUGGAGCUUGCAGUUAUGUUGGCACAUCUUGAGUUUCCUUGGCAAGAAUAAAGGUGCACCUGAUACUGAUGGAAUCAGAAUGGUAUAUAUUGUGCCCUUGUUCUUCAUGGAUCUCUAUGCUUCAGAAUCAAAUAAAGAUUCAUCAUUGUUUCCGUUAGAGAGAGAAAGACCUCAAGUUUUGUCCAACUGUAUUGCCUUCUGUAAAGCAGUUUUCUAAUUAACCUCCUUGCAGCUAAACCUGUACACUUAAGGUGUGCAGAUCAAAGCAUGGAUAAAAAUCAAACGUGCAAAGCAGUUGUCAGUGUGAAGAAAUCUACUGUGCUUAGGAAACAUGGAGUGAAAUGCAAACUAAGCAAUGCCACAAGAAAUUAGGCCUAUAAAUGGCUGAUGCUGUAAACUACAGGAAGCUAACGUCAGGUAAAUAAAUUCCUCUUAUGGGAUGAGGUAAACAUGAAUCUUCUAUGGUCUGAUGGGAAGCAAAUUAUGUUGACCAGCUAGGAGAAACAAAGAGAACUGAUCAAGAAAAAAACUAAUUCGAUUGAAGCCAAUAACUAAAUAUAAGAGUAUUCAAGAAAUUAAAGAAGAAGUAAAAUGGAGUGGGCAGGAGAAGGAUUGCUGGUAGUGCUUACAUCUGAGAACGCCGAUCACAUGACUCCCUUUCAAGGCAACGGUGCCUGGGAUAUGGGAGACUCAGGCUGGCACGCGUCAGGGCUGAUGGCAGCUGGAUCUUGGAGGCUCGAGGAGUCGAGGAAGAGUCACCUGGUCAGCUGGUCCUCACUGUCUAGCUCCUGGCGUUGACCUCUUGGUCCUCUUUGUCCGUGAGGCCAGGGAAUUCUUGGGGCCUAUGAGGUUACAUAUUCUGUUCCGCCAGUGAUUAAGGUCGUCAGUGAUACAUGUUGUCUACCAGACUACCACGCAGUAAAACAUGGAAUUGCCGUAACGCCAUUUUCCCCCCAACAUAUGGUGAAGACUGAAGAGGACACAAACACAUGGACCUGCAUGGCAACAUCAUCCAACGAAAAGACAUUCCAAACACCAGUUUUUGACGUUCAGAAUUACUGCUUCGAAGUGACACAAUACAACAUUCGGCACCACACAGCGCACUGCACUGCAAACCCAACUUGAUUCAUCACACAUCACACGAUCGAACGCAAAGGAGACACGUCCAGGACUCCAGGUCCAGCAUUACAGCGGAGACGAGCAGCGCCAGCUCCGGUGGCCCGGUCCUCCUACAUGGCAUACCUCUGGGUCCAGGUCCUCGCGGUGUUCUCGUACUUGUGCCGGUCCGUCUUGUACAUGUGCGCGAUCUCGGGGACCAGAGGGU